rnacentral:lncRNA from 1 species
UUUUUUUUUUUUUCGUUCUUUGGUGCGGGAAAAGGGUUUGAGCUAGGGUUAUCCAUGAACUGUAUAGGGUUUUAACUAUUGAAUUAUGCCUUCUUUUAAUUAUUACCUGUGCCAACCGAGUUCCAUGUCCCUUUGGAGCUAGCAAGACGAGCCCAUGCCAAGCAUUUCUAAAACCAACAACUUCGAGAAGGCCAUCAUCAACAUAAGGUGGAGUGAAGUCUUUCUGUAAAGUCAAUUGAGAAAAAAUAAUUCAUCAGAUUUUUAUGAGCAAAGUUGGUCAAUAUUUCUUAACAAAAGAGAAACACUAAAUGUCAAAUAUAAAACAAAUCAUGUAUUUAGAACUAACAUCACGUUGUCUUCUCCCACUUGGCACUCCCCAAGGAUUUAGACCACCAGAAAAACUGGGCAAGUUAAGACAUACGAUCGACCUUAUGCUGUUCGAAUUUGGAGAGGGGAACCAGGGACAUUAGGAAAUAUAUAUAUUAGAAGCAUCAUACAGUGAAGCAAUGAAAGGAAAUUAAGCUGAAAAUUCUAAAAUAAGCAUGAAUCAUCUACUUGUUAAGAAUAGGAAUAGUAAAGCUUGAAAAGAUGGAAAGAAACAAGACGACAUCUUUGUCUCCCAGAAAUCAAGAGAACCUCAUUGAUGAGAUUAUACUCUUGUUGAAGCUUUUCGAGAAAUUGUGGGGUUAGGAAGAAGUUCUAUAGAAUUGCAUGGCCAAAUUUUGCAAACAACAUUCUCGUAGUAAAAAAAAAACUGUCAUGAUAGUGAGUUAAGCCCUUUUCACUUUUCACCAGAGAACUAUUGGGCUUCUCCUUUUUUCUUAUUUAGGUUCAUUAAACUCUUAUAUUAUACUUCCUUAGUUUCUAUUUAUCAAAUUAUAUUUCCCAAAAAUAUUAAUAAUUAAAUGGUAAUAUAAAAGAUAUUAAAAUAAGUAGUCAAAUUAUCAAGUGGUUGGCAUGUGUAAAUUAGUUUGCAGAUAGGAGUAUCAAUUUUGCUUAGAGUUGGCUGUAACAACAAUUAGAAUAAAAAAGGUGGCAUAAUGAAAAACAAGAAAAUAAAAGAAGCAAUACAACCGAUUUUUGUUUAUGCAGUUCAGACACAAUGAUCCUAUAUCUACGGAGCAUCGCUUAGAUCUUUUAUCCCCAAUCACCAAUUUAUUCAAAAGUACACUUAUUCCCUAUCAGCUAAAGCUCACAAAUUCUUCUCCAAGCAAAUAUAUGUAAUCCCAAUAAAAAAGUAAUGAUCACUUUACUCACAAUGGUCACACAAUGAUUCGACUAAGUAUAACAAACACCUUAGUCAACAAAGCAAACAAUCAAAUAAAGAAGCAAACAACAAGCGAAUUGAAACAAACAAGCAUGACCCUGUACGUAAAAAUCAACUCUUAAAACUAAUAAUUCCUAAGGGACGUGUCACCUCUUUAUAAGCUUAGAAAGCAACAAAAUAUUCUCCUUUACAACAGUUGAUAAGUUGUUGAGAAACUCCCUUGAAUAAAAUAGAUUAUUAUUUCUAAAAAAUAACACUUUAAUUAUCAAGAUAUAAUAGAACUUUGAUGUUUAAGAAAUCAGUUGGGAGGCAAACACCUUUAAUGGUCACUUAGUCUUGUUUUGUCAAACAUACCACAAUCAAAUGGACUAAACUUAACUUAAUUACUGAAACUUGUAUAGGGCCCAAAAUGAUGGCCCAAACAAGAAGACAAGUUUUUUUGUUAUUGUUUUGUCAAACAUGUCAUAAUCAAAUGAACCAAAUUCAACCCAAUCAAAACCUAUAUAGGGUCCAAAAUGAUGUCCCAAACAAGAAAACAAGUAACAUUACAUGAAACAAGCAACAACAGCUUCUCUAACAACAUGCUCUAACAAUCACUUUCUACGGUGAUUGAAUGAAAAUAUGUCAUUUUACAAUAAAUUUUGGUAAAAAUUAGUGACAGGCUCUGCCAUGAAAUGAAGAGACGGGCUAUAUAUCUUGUCAACGCAACCUAUGAAUGUGACGUAAUGAAAGUUUUUGGUACGAAUGAAUAGAUCCUCUUCUUUCCACAUUAUCAAAUAAAUAAUAUCGAAAGCCAGUGACCUGCAUUUGGGCCAAAUGAAAUUACCUGUGGUGUAUCUGGAGGUCUUCCCAUUGACCAAGUUUCUUCUUGAUUCGAACUUUUACAAGCUGGGCAACAUUCCUGUAGUUUAAGAUCAUAAUAAAAUUUCAGUUUACUAGAAAAGACAUGAAGUUAUAUAUUGAGAGAUUAUAAUGUUUCAAACCAAUAGGAAAAACUUGGGAGAAUUAAAGACAGUUAUUUGCAGAUAUGCUGCAAUUAUAUAGAACAUAUUACACGAGUAAUUUUCAGGUUAUAAACUCUUAAGUCCGUCAGCCUUCUUCAUUUUUUUUCUUUUGAAUUUAUGUUUUAUUUCCAUUAACAAAAAAAAUCAUUAGAGAAAAAAAGAGAGUCAAUUAUCAAUGAAAGGAAAUUGCAUGAAACUUUGUUGAAAAAUAAUACUACUUUACUGGUUAAAAAGAUGACAAUAACUUGUUUUUUUCUUCGUUUGUAAUUAUCUUUUGAUUAGAUGAGUUAUGGGGAACUCCUUUUAGUGUAUAGUAGAGAUGGAUAGGAUGUUUUGAAAAAUAUGCAUAAUUGUUUUUACUAAAAUUUGACUAUUUUACCAAAAACAACCACCUAAAUUACUUGAAAUGAACAGUGUUGAGAGAUUCUAGACACCCCAUGACCAACAUUCAUGUGACCAAUUCCCAAAAAAUCACCUAAUAAUUGAAAAAGUUUUUAAAAAAUGAUUUUUUUGGUGCAGGCCAUUGCAUGGCCGACAUUCAUGUAUUUUUUUCGAUAUUUAAAAGAGUUUUUGGAUUUUUGCUUUGUGAUGGCCGACACCCCUUUGGUUUCAAAACUUUUAAGCUAUAUCAUGCUAUAAUAUACAAUAUGGUGUUUGUGUAAUAGGCAUAGGUUUGACUAAAAAAAGUGUUUACUCAAAGCAUGAAUUAAUGUUAUAAAACUCACACCGAGCUUAUUAGCUCACCCCUUAGUUUUCGUAAAAUUUUCAAAUAAUACACGAGUGUCGGACUUGAAUGCAUCAUAUGGAGGAGUCUCUCGAAUACAAUUUUUAAUAAAAUACAUCAUAAAUUGAUUGAGGUUUCUUUUUGGACUUUGGACUAUUUUGGGUUAUUUAUACUUUUGAUAUAAUAAUUGCUUUGCAUGCAUAAUCGAUGAACUUAUAAAUAUUUUAAUUAUUAUUUUUAGAACUUAAAUGGUUUUAUCUAAUCUUAAAUAAAUUUUAAACUUAAAAUUUUUCUAAGUAUUUUUAAAAGUCUGCUGCAAAUGAUUUACAUCUAGACCAUUUAUAAGUAGCGUUCAACAUUGAUGUUCCAAUUCUAUUCAAAUGCUUUAAGAUUAUAAUUCGAUUUAAUUAGUGAAUUUUUUCAAAAUAAGCAUGUUUUACUAAAUGUUUUACAACAAUAUUAAAUUAUUUAGAAAUUAAUUCCAGGUUUUCAUAAAAACGAUUUAAACAUAAUUGUUUUUAAUAAGAAAAAGUUUUUCAACGAAAUUAAUGUGGCUUCCGAAAUUUAAUCAUAAUGUCUAGAUCGAGUUUGAGGGGUUACAUUUUAUGGUAUCAGAGUCGAGUUCAAAACUUAGACUAUAGAUUUUUAAUCUAGUCUACAUGCAUGUUUUAAAGAGUAUUUUUAAAAUAUAUAUAUUACUGUUAAAUUUCAAAUUCGAAUUAUCGAGAAUCCGAGACUCUGAUGUUGAUUCCUCUUUAGAUGAUAUACUUAUUGAAAUUUAGAUUGAAAAUUAAUAAAUAUGAAUAAUUAAAAAUAUUUUUGAAACUGUAGAUUUUAGAACUGAAAACUUUCAGGUAAUAAUUAGUGGUUGUACCUUGCAUUGAUUGGGAAUUGGUUUUACCCAAAUGUUUGUUGUUAAAAGUGUUUCUAUUAAACUGAGAAUUUGGAGUAGAGGAAAUUGUUAAUGAUAUUUCUGUAGAUUGUUCCUUGAGACAAUCCGUGAUAGUGAAUAAGAAGUCCGUUGGUAGUUUAAGGCGAAGUAAUGUCUGGAACUGCAUUGGAAUUAGAGUUGCGCAGCGAAAGCUGGUGGUUAAUUUGGAAAGAGGAGUUAUGAAUUUUGUGUUAAGUGUAGGGCAUGACAACAAGAAUUUCGAGGACGAAAUUUUUUUAAGGAGGGGAGAGUUGUCAUAUCCCAAAAAUCGGGUUAGUAGAAAUUGGGGUUAAUGAACAAGAGUGGUCACGGCCCAAUUUUUAAAAGUUAUCUUUGCGCAUUAGUUGAUAACAAGUAUUUAGUCUAAAGGUUAAGUAGCGGUGGAGUUGUCCUUAAAGAUCUAAGUUCAAGUUCUUUCCCUCACAUCAUUUUCUAUUUUGAGCAAUUUCGCUUCAAAAUCCUAGUUUGUGCUAUGCCUUGUUUUAAAAUAAAUGUCGUUAGCAUUUAACAAAGCAAUUUAAGUGGUCAAGUGGUUAGUCACCUUAGGUAACUCCUAAAUUAUCCAAGAGAAAAAGAGGGCUGUUAGGUAAGAGGAUUCAAUAUAAGAUGCAUUUGGAGCCAAAGGAAAGGCAAAAUGCAAGCAAAGGGCAAGAAAAAGAAAAAAGAAACAAUGCGAUUGAAGAAACAGUAACUCUAGAAACAGUGGAAAGAAAGGCAAAGUUCCACUAUGUUCAUCUACAAGAAGUCCACAAAUCUAAAUAAAUAUUAUUAGUAUAGACAAGAUAUACUAUGCAAGUCUAGCAAACAACUUGGUAAUUUGGGGAAAGUUUUCAAGAACCAAAGCGAACAAUGACAAGAUUAACAGGCUAUAAUGACAGACAUCUUGCAGUAGAAAGAUUAAUAGGUUAAUGAUGCUUCAUCUUAUGCAACCAAAACUUCCUCAACUGCAUGGUUUAUCAACAGUGGAUGUACUCAUUAUAUGGAAUCAAACAUCAACUUAUUUAAGGAAUUAAACAAAACUUCUUGUUCCAAAGUCAUAAUUGGUAAUGGUGAAUUCAUAGGAGUUAAAGGAAGAGAAAUUGUGAUAGUUAAGACAUCAUUAGGUACAAAACUAAUUAUAGAUGUUUCAUUUAUACCACAAAGAGAUCAGAAUCUCCUCAGCCUAGGGUAGAUAUUACAAAAGAAUUAUUAUUUGGUGUUUAAAGACAAAUCAUAUGUUAUUUAUGAUAUAUAAGACCAUGAGCUCUUUACUAUUAGCAUGAAAGGGAAAUAUUUCUCCUUAGAUUAGGAUCAAUCCAAUUCAACAUAUAUUGAUCCAGUUAAUAAAUCUAAAUUGUGUUAUAAAAAGAUGAGGCAUUUUAACUAAAGGUCCUAAAUAAAAAAUCUGAGGUAGUAAAUGUUUCUACAAGGUCAUUUUACCCAUAUGUAUUGGAUGAAACAAAAAUUUGAGGUAGGAAAUGUACUUUGAGGAUUCAAGGCCUUGAUUAACAACUAAAAUGAUUAGAGAAUCAAAAUCAUUAGGCUAGAUAAUGAUAUUAAGUGCACAUAAUGAGUUUUGCAAAGUUAUAUGUAUUGAAAACCAAUUGACUAGAUGCAUUAUAAAAAUGGCUAGAUGCAUGUUAUUUGAAAAAUAUCUUUCUAAUAAAUUUUGGGUAGAAGGAACAGACACUACUAUCUACCUACUCAACAAAACGCCAACCGAAGUCUUCAAAGUACAGACUCGUAUAAAAGUUGCUAUAGCAGUAAACCUUCCAUUUAUUAUCAGAAAUUUUUAAAAGCUUUUUUUAUAUUCAUGUUCCUAAGGUUCAAAGGGACAAACUUGAUUAGAAGACAAAAAUAUUCAUUUUCUUAGGCUAUAGCAACAUUAGAAGAGACUAUAAAACUUACAAUCCACUUAUAUGCAAGGUAAUUGUAAGUAGAAUUGUAAAGUUUAAUGAACAUGCAACAUUGAGUUGAGAAACAAAUGAAAAUCAAGCCAAAAGGGACACAUCAACUUGAACUCUUAAUAGCAAAAAGAUUUCACUCUUGAUGAUGAAAUUUUUGACCAUGAUCUAGUAAGAGGAACUAAACCACUUACUGACAUCUAUUAGACGUCAAAUGUUACUAUACUUGAACCAAACAACUUUGAAGAAGCCUUCAAAUUGUAAGAAUAGAGAGAUAUCAUGAAGGCGAAGAUUUUAAUGAUUGGAAGAAUCUGACUUGGAUGCUAGCAAACAAACCUAACAAUAAGAACAUAGUUAAAGUCAAAUGGAUUACCAAACCAAAUCAAAUGUAGAUGAUUAGUUGCUAAGAGCUACUACCAACGGUAUAAUUUUGAUUAUUUAGAAACUUUUCCUCCAAUUAAAAGGCUAGACACAAUAAGACUAUUAUUAGCCUCAGUAACACAGAAAAGAUGAAAAUAAUUUAAAUUGAGUUAAAUUAGCAUUCUUGAAUGACUAUUUUCAAGUGGAGAUCUACAUUAAACAACCUGAAUGUUUUUCUGCUAAAGGGAACAAAGAUAAAUUUUAUCUACUAAAACAGGUCCUUGUAUGGAUUGGAACAAGCUCCAAGAGUUUGGUAUUUCAAUAUUGAUGAUCACUUGUUGAGUUUACAAUUCAAGAAAAGCUUUUAUGAGACUACAUUGUAUGUCAAAACUAUUGAUGACAAUGGUUUUUUUUUUCUCUCUCUAAAUGUUGAUGACUUAAUGGUGAUUGUGAGCAACUCUAAAUUGAUGCAAAAAUUCAAAGAUCAAAUGAUGGUAUUUGAAAUGAUAAACUUGGGAGAGAUGUUUUACUUUUUUGGAAUCGAAAUUUCUCAAUUUGAAUAAAGAAUUUUCAUUUAUCAACAAAAUUAUGCCAAGCAAGCACUGAAAAAAUUCAAUAUAAAAAAUAGCAAAAAUGUUAGCACUAUAUUGGUCAAAAUGAGAAGCUUUGCAAAUAUGACAACUCUACCAAGGUUGAUGAAACCAAUUACCAAAGGCUCAUUGGUUUCUUUUAUUUGAAAGCAACUAGACCAGACAUAAUGCUUGCUACCAAUUUUUUUUUUAGAUUUACAUAUUGGCCAAGAAAAUCUCAUCUUAGAACAAGAGAGUGUUGAGAUAUAUUAACAAUACAAUUGAUUUCGAAAUUUUAUUUCAAAAGUUAGAUAAAGGGAAAUUGGUGGAUUAUAUAGAUAAUGUUUUUCCUAGAUCUUGUGAGGACAUGAAAAGCAUUUUUGACUAUCUAUUUACGCUUAGUUCGAGCACAUUUGCAUAGAACUCAAAGAAUUAAAAAAUUGUGACACAAUCAAUUGAAUAAGUAGAGCAUGUUGCAAUUGCAACCACUAUGAAUUAAAUAAUGUGGCUAAAGAAAUUGUUGAAAGAUUUAGGGCCACCUAAAAAAAAGCAAUAAAAAUCAAGUGUGAUAAUAAAUCAAUUGAGGCAAUGGAAAAAAACCAAGUUUCCAUAGAAGAUCCAAGCACAAAAAAAAUUAAAUAUCAAUUUGUUUGAGAUGUUGAAUCAAAACAUGAAGUAAAGUCAAUCUAUUGCAGCUAAGAAGAUCAACUUGUUGAUAUUUUGACUAAAGCCUUACCUAGGGAGAAGUUUGAAGUAAGGAUUUAAAUACCUAGGGUAAAGUUUUCUCUUAUUUUUACUAUAUUUUUGUUUAUUUUUUGAAGACCGAUCUUAAAGCUUUCAGUAGUUUUUAGGAAAAAAGUUUAGGAUAAAAAUGACUAGAAUUUAGAUAAAAAUUAUAUUUUUGACAAAGAUCAUAAUGUGGAUAACAAUGACUGGUUAAGAAAUAUGCUUAGGAAAUGGUUUGGACAAAGCUUAAAUAAGAUUUGCACCUAUAAAUAUUUCUAAGAUCUUUAGUUUAAGGUAUUCAAGUUAGAAACACAAAAGGUUGUUCUUAUUAUUUUCUCUUCCUUUUAAGCUUUCCUCUCAAAUUUCCUCAUUGUUUCUUCUCUCCCUCCCAACAAAAGUAAAGGUUGGCCUUUACCAUUACAUAAAACAUAGAAGCAACCAAGCUUAAUUUGCAAAACAAUGAAAAUUAGAAGCAUAAAAGAUUAAAAAAAAAAAGGACAAAGAUUACGUUGUAGAAGGAUGAAAAGUAGAUGCGGCAAACCACCCUUGCUUACAACCAAGCUUUGCAUAAGUAGUCUGUUGGAAACAAAGCAAAUGAAAUUAAAAAUUUAUUAACUGACAUAUCCUCUUAAAAGAUUAUUUUUAUUGUCAAAGACAAGUAAGAUAGAGAAAACACACACGCAUAGAAACAAAUAUACAAACGUUUAUAUAUUCUAUAAACAACGUAUAUCACUAUACAACACAUAAAUCUAUAUUCAGUCAUCAACAAAGGCUAUUCAAAAACAUUUUGUAUGAGUUCAAAACGUUAAUCUUACUAAAAAGAUUGAAUUAACUGAGAAUAAACACAAAAAGAAACAAGAAUUAGAAAAAGUGGUGUUCUUGUGUGAUGAUAAACAUUCAAGUAGUUAAGAUACAAAAGAAUAAACCCUGCGAAGGAAAAUUUCUUAGCUCCAUUUACGCAUUGUGCCAGAUUAAUUUCAAAUUUUAUGCAUUAAUCCACUUCAAAUUUAUUUCUUAAAUGAUUCACAUGUUUGUGUUUAACAAAGCAUCUCGCCAUUUUUUAGAAUUUAGUUGCAACUCUAAAAAGUGAGUAAAUUAACUAACAUAUGGACUCCAUGAGUAGGGCAUUAUUAUAAGUUUAGCAUUUUUAUUUGGACAGUAGAUCAAUGCCUAGCUAAAUAUACCUUAGUUUCUUAACAAAACAACAAAGCUAAAGAUGUAAUUUUUUUUAUGGAACCUAAAUAUGUAAUUGUAAAAUAAUGAGAAAGAUAAAAUGGAAAUGAGAAUUUGGAGACUACUGUGAAGAGAAAGAGAAAUAGAGGGGAGCAGAAGAAAUGGAGGUUAUAAAGAGGGGAAGAAAAAAAAUUGAAGAGAUUUGAUUUGAACAUUUUGUUUAAUUAUCGCUCAAGCUUUGAUGGGUUUUAUGCAAUAAUAAAAUGUACAUAAAAAAGAACUAGGAAGAUUAUAACCUAUUUUGAAUUUCUUAAAAUAUAACUUACCUAAAUAUAUUCUAAUCCUUAAAAUUAUGUCUCCCUCAAGUUAUAGCAUAUAAAUCAUAGACUUCUAGCUUGUCACUUAUAUAUUCAAUUUAAGGUUUCCUAAAAUCUUUAGUGAAAACAUCUUCUAACUGAUAUUUAGAACUGACAAAUCUGGAUGCAAUGCAUCUUGACUUAAUAUUUUUUCGCACAAAGUAACAAUUUAUCUAUAUGCAUUUCAAUCUCUCAUGUACUAUUAGAUUUGAGGCAAUAUGCAAUGUUGCUUGAUUUUUACAUAUUAACUUCAUUACAUUGAUAAUUUCAUAUUUCAAUUCUUGAACCAAUUAUCUCAAUCAAAUAAGUUCACAAGUAGUUAAGGUUAUGGCUUUCUAUAUUUUGUUUCUAAUUUGAUCUUGCUGUUACUUCUUACUAUUUCAUGAUAUUAUAUCCCCCCAUCCUCAAAAAAGAAAUACAAUAUCCUGAAGUGAAUCAUUUAUUUUAGGAAUAUCCUACACAACCAACAUUUGAGUAUCCAACAAUUUGAGUGUUUCCUUUAUCUUCAUACAAUAAGCCUCGUCCAAAAGCACUUUUAAUAUGCCUAAGAAUACUUAUUGUUGCUAUCACAUGAAAUUUUAAAAAAUUGACUAACCACACUUAUUGCAAAGAAAAUGUUUAGUCGUAUGAUAGUAAGAUAAUUAAGUUUUCCAAUCAAUCUUCGAUAUUUGAUAGGAUCUUUUAGUGACUCCCUUAUUUUGGAACAAGCUUGACAUUGGGAUUCCUAAGAGUUUCCAUAGGUUUACAAUCUAGCAUUUAUGUUUCUUCUAGAAUACUUAAAACAUACUCUUUCUAGGAGAUAGUAGUGCUUGUAUUUGAUUAUGCUACCUUAAUGCCAAAGAAAUAUUUUAACUUCUCAAGUCUUUUGUUUGAAAGUGAUUGAAAAAAUGUUGUUUGAGAUAGAAAAUGCCUUCAUAAUCACCUCUUGUAAUAACAAUAUCAUCCACAUAUAUCACUAAAUUGAUGCAUUUGUCGUGAUUAUUAUAGAGGUAAAAGACUAAAUGAUUUGUUCUCUUCUUUUCAUCACAAAUUUUUGAAUAAAAACAAUGAAUCUUCCAAACCAAGCCUCUAGUGUUUUUCAGUCCAUAAAAAGAUUUCUACAACCAACAUUCUAACUUAAACUCUCCCUUAAUAACAAAAUCUAAUGGUUGCACAGUAUAAACUUCAUCAGUUUAUUCGCCAUGAAGGAAUGGAUUUGAAUAUCCAAUUUGAUGAAUAGUCUAAUGAUUCAUGGCAAUAAAAGAAAUAAAAAAUUGAACUGAGAAAAUUUUGACAGCUGGAGAAAAGAUCUCUCCAUAAUUAAGGCUAAGAAUUUAUGUAAACCCUUAUGAAACGAAUCAUGCUUACAGUCAUUUUAUCUUACCAAUAUAAUCGACUUUAACUAUGUAAACCCAUUAACCACCAAUUGCAAAUUUAUUUGAAGAUAAGGGAACCCAAGUAUGAUUAGCAUGAAGAGAAUUCAUUUCCACCAUUAUAGCCUGUUGUAAUCAAGGAUCUACCUUUGCUUCACUAACAAUCUUACAAAUGGAUACAUUGGAUGAAUUUGAUAAAAAUGCACAAUAUAAAGUUGACAACUACUGAUAACUCAAAAUUGUAAAUAGGAUGAGGAAUAGAAGAAGAACAAAUACUUUUUUCUAAUUGUAAUAAUUUUUUUUUGCUUAAGGUAUAACCAAAUAUGGAGAUGUAGGAGAUGUGUCAUUGGGAACAUAAACUUAUUCUAUAAAUGUAGGAAGAUUAGAAUGGUCUAUAGAAUGUCAUCUUGAGUAAACCUAAGAGGUUUUGAAGGAGGUGUAAUAUCAAGAAUAAGAAAUAUAGGAAUUGAAAGAAUUUUUUUUAACAUAUUUUUUAUCGAUGGGUUGAGAUGAAAAAUAAAGAGAUGUUUCAAAUAAAGUCAAACAUGUAGAAAUAAAAUAUUUGAGUGAUUGAAUCAUAACAUUUUUAACCCUUUUUAAUGACAAGAAUAUCCCUAGAAGACACAUUCAAUGGAUUUAAAAAAGAGUUUAUCUUUUCUUGGUGUAUGAUUGUGAAUAGAGCAAGUAUAACCAAACAUGUGUAGAAAAUGGAUAAGAUGACCGAUUUGGAAAAACAAUUGCAUGGUUGGUGUUGCAAAAAAAAAAAAAGAAGUCAUGUGAUUAAUAAGAUAACAUAUUGUUAAAACAAGAUCCCCCAAAACAAAUUGGUACAUUAAAAUGAAUAAUCUUAGUACGAGAAAUUUCAAUGAGAUAAUAAUUUUUAUGUACAAUCAUUAUUUUGUUGUGGGAUUUAAGAAUAAGAAGUUUGAUAGAUGAUUCCUUGGGAAAUCAUGAAUUUCUAUAAAUGAAAAGAAACAUAUUCUCGUGCAUUAUCACUACAUAAAAUUUUAAUUGAAACAACAAAUUGGCCAAAUUGAUUGUGAAUCUCAAUAUAGAAGUUUUUAAAAUUAUCAAGCAAUUCAAAUUUAUUUUUUAAUAAGAAACAAUCAAGUGAAAUGAGAAAAAACAUAAAAAAAAAACAAAGCACCAAAAGUUAAAUUGACACAACUUGGACCCCAAAUAUCUAAAUGAACAAUACUAAAUAAAGAUCAAGUUCUACUAUUUAUUUGUUUUGGGAAAGAAGUAUGGGUGUGUUUCCCAAUUUGAAAUGACUCACGUUCUAUGAAAGAUAAUUUUGACAAAUUAAGAUCAAUCUUCUAAAGUUUGGAUAGACUAAGAUAACCUAGACAACUAUGUAUGAGAUUAACCGAAGUAUCGAAAGUACAAGCUAUUGGUGUAGCAAGGCAAGAUAGAUAGUAUAAUUCAUGGGACAAAUCCCCUUUGCCAAUAAUCUAUCCCAAAUUCUUAUCGUACACAAAAACAAAAUGUGAAAAGAAAAUGACUCAAAAAAUUAAGUUGUUUAUAACGUUUACUAAUGGAAAUCAAGUUAUAAGGGCAUUCUUAGAUAUUUAACUGUAGAAGAAGUUAAAAGAAGAAGUAUGUAACAGCUCAAUUUUCAAUAGUGUAGGAAACAGUGGUUCGAGACCACUAAAUCCGACGAUUGAGUUCGAAAAAUUUUAUUAUUUAGUAAUUAUGAUUUAAAUGUGAUUUUAGAAAGAUUUGUGAAAUAGUGAUUUGACAUUAGAAGGAAUUAUUAGGUUAAUUGAUUUUGAAAACGAGGUAUCGAGACUUCGAUUUUAUAAAUCGAGUUGUAAAUAUUUUUAUAAAUAUUUACAGAGUGUCAUUAAGUUAGUAUUAAAGUUUCGUUAGAAAAUUUUAACUUUUUGAUAGUUAAUUAAAUAAGAAGGACUAAAUUGAAAAAAUUGCAAAACUUGCUAAUUAAAGAAAUAGUGAUUAAAUAGCUUAAGUGGUGAAUAAGGAAGGACCAAAAAGGAAAUUAUACACUUAUUAUAGGGCUGAAACGACAUGUGAAGAGAAAAAAUCUUGAAAUUAGAUGAAUUAGGGGCAAAAUGGUUAUUUUGGAAUUAAGGUAAAAAUUAAAACAAUGACUAAAUUGAAAAUCUAGACAUUUCUUCAUCAAUAUUCAGCCAAAAACACCAUAGAAGAGUCUCUAAAAAUCUUUUUUUCAUAUUUUUACACCAUGUGAGUUCAAUUCUUACUCUUUUCUUGAAAUUUUUGUGUUUUUAAGACUUUUACAACUAGGUCCAACUAUCUAUUUCAUUAGUUUUUUAUUUUAUGAGUAAUUUUGAAAGUUACCAUUGAUGAGUGUUGGAUGUUUGUGAUGAAUUAAUAUGGAUUUAGGGUUUUAAUUUUGUUAUAUGAUGAUUUUAUAAAGUGAAUUUGAUAGAUAUUGAUUUUAAGACUAAAUUGUGAAGAAUUUAAGAAUUAAGGCUUGCUAUUAAAUUUUUAUGUAUCAAAGGUUGUAAGAUAGCCUAGAAUACUUAAAUAAAUUGUCAAUUGAGAAAAUUAAGUUCAUUUGGUAGACUAAUUAGUAAGGGACUAAAUUGCAAAAAUUAUAAAAGUUAGGGUAAUUGUGUAAUUUUAAAAUAUGUAGGGUACUGAUUGUAAAUUGAAUUGAAACUGAAAUAUAUGUUAAUGCAUGAGUAAUUUUAUAUUUUAGAUCAAGAGCCGGUAGAUCAACGAGAAAAAAGGAAAUUAACAAAAUAAUCCUUGAACUACUACAAACUUACAAUCUAACCCAGGUAAGUUUGCAUGGUUAAACUUUAAUGUUAAACGUUAAAUUGAUGAUUGGUAUUAUGUAAUUAUUCAUAUCAUUUGUUGAAAAUAAAAUUAUUAUUAAAGUUAUAAAAAUUGAAUUGAAUGUUCGAGGCGAAAGGAACAUAGGAUUGAGUACAUUCGUUUUGUGUAAAGGAGGACUUGACGGCAAAUUACCCAAGUAAACCGGGGUUCGGCAUUUGUUGCUAACUUUUGUGUUUGCUUUUAGUUUAGCUCUUAUGAGCUUUAGCUAACUCAUAUGAGUUUCAGUUUAACCCUACUAGGUUUCAGUUUAGCUCUUUUGAGCUUCAGUUUAACCCUUGUGGGUUUCCGUUCAGCUUUUAUGAGCUUCUGUUUAACCCUUACGGGUUUUCGUUUAACACUUAUGUACUUCUAUGCAGCCUUUGGGCUUCUAUAUAUGAUGUACUCAUAUCCGUAAGACGCUAUCCAAUUUGACAAAGGCUGGUAAGUGACAUAUGGAGUAUUAUUGGAUAACUUAAUGAUAUUAUUAAUUUUGAGAUGAAAUAAGUGAAAUCAUCAAUUGAAGUUGUGAUUGGCAGGAAAUGUGUAAUGAAUGAUUUAGUUAAAUGCAUCAUUAUAAUAUGUUCGGUCAGAUUUAAGUUUAAAGCCAACGAACUUACUAAGCUACAUUUAGUUUACUUGUGUUGUUUAAUAUUCUUUGUAGAUUUUCGAGUAGUCGGGAGGUCGGAUCGAUGCAUUGAAUCACACUAUCCAACUUUCCGGUAGAUUUUGCUAAACAUACUAUGUUUUAUAUGGCAUGUAUAGGAAUUUAAAUGGCUGUGUAAACAUUAAAAUUACAUUUUGGCUAUGUUCGGUAUAAAUGUUGGUAUGGGUAAUGAAUGAAUUAGUAUAACAUGUUAAUAUAGCAGUUGCAUGAGUGAAUUAAUUUAUGUUCUAGUUUAGAUUGUUAGAGUAUAUGUGGUAAUAUGACCAUAAUAAUGAUAGGAUUGGUUGUUUUGAAGAUUUUGUUAUGACCUAUAUGUAUGAAAUUUGAGAUGUGUAGGUUGGAGUCAAGAAUGGGUGAGAAAAGAGGUCAUAAAAUGGCUUAUUUUCGUCCACACGGGCAGAGACACGGGCCUAUCACACGGCCGUGUGGUCUGGUCGUGUGUCCCAUGCACCUUGAAUUUUCAUAAUAGAAUACCCAGGUUUUUACACAGCCUAUCACACAGGCGUGUGGCUUGGCCGUGUGACCCCUGCACCCUUCACACGGCCUAUCACACGGGCGUGUGGAUGGCCGUGUGACCCAAGUCAGAGAGUUACACGAGUAUGGACACGGGCUGGAAUAUAGCCGUGUGUCUCACAUCAAAUGCCCACACGGCUUAAGACACGGGCAUGUCACUAGGCUACACGGGCGUGUGUCCCCUACUCCUAAGAAAAAUUUUUGAGAUUUUGAGAAAAAUUCCCUGGGUAUCCAGUUUAGUCCCGAUUCAAUUAUAAAGUGUAUAUUGGGCCUCGAGGGCCUAUAUAAAGGUCAAUAUGAGUGUUUUAUGAUUGGCUCUUGAUGUGUAUAUUAAAUAUUGUAAAACGUUAGUAUUUAAUCAAUAAAGUUUAGUAAUACUCUGUAACCCUAUUCCGACAACGAAUAAAGAUUAAGGGUGUUACAAAGCAAGGGUGGAAAACAAGUUUUUAUUAUAAAAAAAUAUAGUCGAAAGCAUCAGACUCAAAUAACCAAGUCCCAUAUGAGGAAGCUUGAGUUAGGUGAGUAAAAAAUUAUUUGGUUGAGCAACAAGAACUAUGUUGGAAGAUUGUUGUUUCACUGCUUGAUAUUGUAAAUACUCAUCAUAAUUUGACUCAAUUAAUGUGAUUGAUUUGACCAUUUGUGAUACGAGUCACAAAAGCUCAAAUUCUUGAAGGCGAGGCCCAAUAAGCAAAUUCCCAGCCCAAUCAAGAAAUCCAUCCAUACUUAGUUGAAAAUCAGGCCAAAUUGUCAAAGUGGCCCAAGUUGUAAAGUUUUAUUUUUAUUUAUUUAUUUUACUUAGUUUAAAUUUUUAUAUUCAGUCCAAGAGUCCCAAAUAAAAGACCCUUGGCCGAAUUUCCAUAUUAAAAUAAUUAGGAGUUAUUUUUUUAGUUUUAGUUUUAGUGUUCUAAUUAAAUUAGGAAAACAUUUGAAAGGCCUAUUUAUAUGGCUUGGCCAGCCACCCUACAUUACAUUACAAUUACAUUGAAAAUUUCAGAUUUGAUUUGAGUGAAAAUUCUCUUUGAGUUCUUCAAGGAUUUUCUCUUGAGUUUUCUUUAGAAGUUGUUUUAACAAUCUUUUUGAUUGUGGGAGCCAUCUUCAACCUUCUUCUUGCCAUUGAUAUUCUUUGGAGGGGAGAUUAGAGCCGUUUGAAGGGAUUUGUGAAAUCUUUCGGGAUUUCAAGGAUCUUUAGGACUUUCUUUAUUUCUUGCUAAUUCAUUUUAUUUCUUUAUUUCUACUUGUGCUGAAUCAUUAUCUAAUCUAUUUUCUGUUCUUAUUGUGUUUUCAGCCUUUUUCUAUCUUAAGGAAUCAGCCCAAAAAAUCCCCAAUUUCUAGGGUUUUUCUAUACUCUUUUUGGGUGAAAUUAGAUUGUCGAAAUUUGGGGAAAACUAUCUUGGUGUUCAAUUGGGCAGAAUCACAAUCUCCUUGAGGGUUUCAAGAACCCUAACACUUAUUUCUAUUCUCUAUUUGAUUCUUUACUGUUUUGGGGAUUUUAUUUCAGAUCUGAAAAUUCAAAAAUCUAAUCUUUUAAUUUUCUGUUUCGUUUCAGAUCUAAUUGUUUAGGGUUUUCGUAGGAGUUUCUCGUGACUUGACAACUCGAUCUUGGUCCGCGCGCAACCCCGUAUCAUUUGGUAUCAGAUUUUGGGCAUUUUGGGUGUUCUUGGUUGAUUUCUAAACUGAUCUCUAUUUUUUAAAUUACAACAGCAGUUUUACCCAGAAAAAUUUUCGAAAAAAAAUUCAUUUGAGUGGGUAAACGUUUUCUGAUUGAUCUGAAAUUUUACAUACAUAUUUUUGGCACUGUUAUUGAAUAUACAAAAAUAUUUACCACAAAAAAAAAUAAGUCGAAAAAGUCAAAAAAUUGAAAAAGACGAAAUCCAAUAAAAAAUUAAAAAAAUAUUCAGCGGGUUGAAUUUGGUGCCCAAAUUUUCCAGAUCAAAAAUUCAAUAUUUGAAGACAUUCCAGAUUUAAUUUUGUGAUUUUUUGAGAUCGGGAACACCUCGAACGAAGUUGUCAAGUUACUCCGCAGUUUUUCGGGUUUUCUGUUUUCAGCAAUUUUUAUUGAUUCUUAGCUGUAGGUUUUCAUUUGUUUACCUUUAUUCUUCCUUUACGUUAUCUAACACCUUCUUGUUUCUUGUGUUAGUAGGAUUUAAACGUGUGCACAACUUCUUCCUCGGUGCAACACGAAUCAAUUGGUGUCUCGUCAGUUUUUGGCAUCCUAGUGCAAAUUAGGAUUCUUUGGUAGUUUGGUUCACACUCUCUAAUUGGUUGAUAUAAACUCUGAUAAAGAACUCACAAGAUUGAAUUCGACCUCAUUGAGAAUUUGAAUUUUCUUUUUGAGUGAUUAAUGGUGAGGUUUGCUAACUUUUAUUUUUGAGUGUUGAGUGUUUAUUUUUUACAGGUUUUGAAGAUGUCUAAAGGUGAUAAUAAUGAUGCACUUAUGAAAGUCCAACAACAGUUAGAUGGACAUACUGCUGCAAUCACACAAAUAAAUGCUACACUUCAAGCAUUGAAUACUACUUUGAAUGAGGUACGAGUGAAUCAAAAACAUCAAUAUCGAGAUCCAAUUAAGGAAGAUAGGGAUAACCAACCCCAAAGGCGCGGCCCUCGACGUGUCACUAGAAUGGAUGAUGAUUUUCAUGAUCGUGGACAAUCAUCUUUGGCAAAACCAAGGAGCGAGCAGCAACGAGAACAUCUCUUUCAUACUCGCUGCCAUGUACAAGGUAAGCUUUGUAGAGUUAUUAUUGAUGGUGAAAGUUGCUCAAACACAGCCAGCACGACGAUGGUGGAAAAGCUUUGCUUAACCACUACCAAGCAUCCACAACCUUAUCAACUAUAAGGGCUUAGCAACGAAGGCCAAUUUAGGGUCACUCAACAAGUGCGCAUCGCCUUUUCUAUCGGUAAGUAUCAAGACGAAGUUGUGUGCGACGUAAUGCCUAUUCAAGCCUGCCAUUUGUUGCUAGGAGAACCAUGGCAACUGGAUCAAAAAGUCACUCACGAUGGUCGUACCAAUAGGUAUUCUUUCAAGCAUCAAGGAAAGAAACUCACCUUAGUGCCGCUCACUCCGGAACAAGUCCAUGAGGACCAAAUCAAACUGAAAAAUUCUGUUAAAACAAGUGAGGAAAAAGAAAAAGAGAAUGAAAAAGAGCAAAAAGAGAUUGAGAGUGAAAAGGAAUGUGAAACAGAAAAGAAAUUUGAAAAAGAAGUUGAAGAAAGAAGAGAAAAUGAGUUAGAAAAAGAAACAAAAGAAAAAGACGAGGAAAGGCUAGUGAGGAAUGUUUCCACUAACCAAGAUAUGAUUUUUCUUGUGUUGCUACUUUUCAGGUUCCUGAAAGAUCGAAAGAUAACUUUCAACUUCAAUACCUCUCAAAUGAAAGACGCUUUCAUACGAUCAACUUAGGCAAAGAUGAAAUCACACUACAUGAUCCCGAAGGUAAGCGAGGUAAGGAAAUUUUAGAAACCGAGUCCAGUGCAGAUUUAAAAAUUAUUGAUAAAACUUUUGGUGACUUAGUUCUUAAAGGAUCCCCUCAUUUUGAUCCGAUUAAUUGUUACUCUUCGAUUGUGGUUGAUAAAGUCAUUACGAAAAGAAGCGUGAUUUGUUAUUCUCUUGAUUUACCUUGUGUAAAAUCCUCGAAUUUGUCCAAAUCUGUUUUGGAGAAUAAGGUAACGAAAUUUUCCAAAUUUGUUUUCAAUUUAUAUUCGUGCCUUAAACAGUUUAUGUGGUUGUACAUGAAGUUUGAGUUCCAUUUGACAAAGGUUAACUCAACAACGGAGAUUCGACUACACUAUGCCCCCGAUGAGCGAAUGUUUGUUUUAAAUGAAAAAGGUAAAAUCGACCCUUAUUCUUCUGCUUAUCGAGGUAAGAUGCUUGAAACCUUUGAAACACUUUUGUACUCCUCGGAUAGUGAUAAAGAUCGUGUUGAUGAACACUUAGAUCGAAACGUGCUUGACUGUCCUAUUUUAUUUAUUGAUGAUCUAUCUGUUUUGAUGGUUGAUAAAAAGAUUCUUGUUUUUGAUAAUGCAUGUGUGAGUGAAUCUAUAGACCGUCGAUUAAUGCAUGGUAUGAUUAUGCAACUCUGUGAACCAUGUGAAUCUUUUCAAAUACCUACUUGUGACGAUUAUGUUUACCAUUUGAUUUAUUACUCGCAAUUUAUUCAUGGUUUGUGGGAACAAUGUGAGACGACUGAAUGCCUUAAAACAUGUCCAUCUUUGUUUCAAAUAUUUGACGAGGCAGUGGUGAGUAAAUUAGAUUGUUUGCAUGGUAAUCUGAAUCUGUCCAUUCACAUGCGUUAUACCUGUUCUAUUAUGCUUAUAAUUGGACUACAAGCUUGUUUCCGUUGCUAUUUACUAUCUCAUGGCUAUUCUUUUCAGUGGACUCAAUUGCCAUUACUCCCGUUCGAUAGAGGAAAGUCGAGUUCAUUUGAUUUUUCAGAUUCGAGGACGAAUCUUUUUGAGGAAGGGGGGAAUGAUACGAGUCACAAAAGCCCAAAUUCUUGAAGGCGAGGCCCAAUAAGCAAAUUCCCAGCCCAAUCAAGAAAUCCAUCCAUACUUAGUUGAAAAUCAGGCCAAAUUGUCAAAGUGGCCCAAGUUGUAAAGUUUUAUUUUUAUUUAUUUAUUUUACUUAGUUUAAAUUUUUAUAUUCAGUCCAAGAGUCCCAAAUAAAAGACCCUUGGCCGAAUUUCCAUAUUAAAAUAAUUAGGAGUUAUUUUUUUAGUUUUAGUUUUAGUGUUCUAAUUAAAUUAGGAAAACAUUUGAAAGGCCUAUUUAUAUGGCUUGGCCAGCCACCCUACAUUACAUUACAAUUACAUUGAAAAUUUCAGAUUUGAUUUGAGUGAAAAUUCUCUUUGAGUUCUUCAAGGAUUUUCUCUUGAGUUUUCUUUAGAAGUUGUUUUAACAAUCUUUUUGAUUGUGGGAGCCAUCUUCAACCUUCUUCUUGCCAUUGAUAUUCUUUGGAGGGGAGAUUAGAGCCGUUUGAAGGGAUUUGUGAAAUCUUUCGGGAUUUCAAGGAUCUUUAGGACUUUCUUUAUUUCUUGCUAAUUCAUUUUAUUUCUUUAUUUCUACUUGUGCUGAAUCAUUAUCUAAUCUAUUUUCUGUUCUUAUUGUGUUUUCAGCCUUUUUCUAUCUUAAGGAAUCAGCCCAAAAAAUCCCCAAUUUCUAGGGUUUUUCUAUACUCUUUUUGGGUGAAAUUAGAUUGUCGAAAUUUGGGGAAAACUAUCUUGGUGUUCAAUUGGGCAGAAUCACAAUCUCCUUGAGGGUUUCAAGAACCCUAACACUUAUUUCUAUUCUCUAUUUGAUUCUUUACUGUUUUGGGGAUUUUAUUUCAGAUCUGAAAAUUCAAAAAUCUAAUCUUUUAAUUUUCUGUUUCGUUUCAGAUCUAAUUGUUUAGGGUUUUCGUAGGAGUUUCUCGUGACUUGACAACUCGAUCUUGGUCCGCGCGCAACCCCGUAUCAAUUUGUGUAUGAGUAGUUGGUAGUGAAAAAAUUCCAUCUCUUUGAGCUUGAGCAAUACGAGUAGUAUAGGUUGAUUAUUACAAGGAAGUCAUGCAUGUAAAGCCUAACAAGUGUCAUGUGUGUGUCCACAUUUGUCACAAUAAGUACAUUGGGAUAUAAAUCCUCUACCUUUUUCUUCUUUGAUGAUCUCCUUGCUCAAUUUUCUAUAUAGCUAAGACAAAGGAUUCAAUCUCGAAUUAGUCUUGAUUUGAGGAGAUGCAAAGUAAACAAGUAGACAUAUCUUCAAGCGUAAUAAUAAUUGUGACGAUAAGAAUUUGAUAUUGGAGAUGGGCUAGAUCUGCUCAUAAUCCAGUUAAGGCAAGUACCAUUAAAUUCUUCUCUUUGUUCUUUCCUGGCCAUUAACAUUUUUAGAAGGAUGCAUGAGCACAUAAAAUUCAUCCUUCAAAGUUUCAACCUACCUCAAAUAGCUAGUUAUAUCUUGUUGAUUUUGCUGUAAAGAACAAGAUUUGAUACAACUUUAUAAUUUCGCAUAUUGGCCUUGGCCCAAGUUUUGUAACAAGUCUUUCCAAACUUAAACAAAGUAAUUUUAACUCAAAAGAAUGCCACAAUAGACUCCAUGGUUCUGCAUCAAAUUUGGCCCAAACAUCCCUAUUUUUUCUUAUCAAUUUUUCUAGGAUCCAGUUCUAAAUGAUCUUUAUACCUUUACCCUCAUAAACCAUUAUUCAACAAAAAUGGCUUAAGAAAUAUAGAUAUUGCUACCUUGUAAUUUGACGGUAGUGAUAAUAAGUAAACCAAAAAUAGAACAAAGAGGUUUCAGAGAACUUGAUAUUUCGACGAUGUUGAGAGAAUAAAGAAAUACCCAAAAAUCAAAAAGAGUUAAAACAACCAAAUUGAGAGUCUCAUUGGUGUCAAAAAUACUGGGAAAGACAUUGUAAAAGAGAUUAAUGAAAAGUGGUGGUUGGAAUUGGGCUCACGCGUCGACCUAUGGGAAGAGGGAAAAAUAUAUGUAGUGGAGCGUGUGACUUACACGCAUGGCUUCCAAUGGCGAUACUUGGCCGGACAACUUGACAAUAGCUAGGUGUUUAAUGGGAGGGGCGGUGAGAACAUAUAAACUUUGAUACCAAGAAGAGAAUUUGGAGAUUGUUGUGAAAAGAAAGAAGUAGAAGGGAAAAGAAGAAACAGAGGUUCUAACGUGAGGAAGAAAAAAGGAGAUUGAAGAGAUUUUUCUAAAAAUUUUACUUUGAUUAUCCCAAGUUUGGACUUUUUUUGGUAAAUUAUAAUAGGAAAACAAAGCCCUAACAGUAAUACGACUAGUGCGACUUGAACUCAAGCUAAAUUUGGGGCGAUGAACACCCUAACUAUUAGGUCAACACCCGGGGUUCUAGAUCAAAUUUUUACUAUAAUAAAAUGUACACAGAUUAUAGCCUAAAUUAGAACCUAUAUAGAUUUUUAGCUUAUCUAAAUAUAUCCUAAUCCCUAAAAUAUAGAUUAUCUAAAUCUAUUUUAUUUCCUAAAAUUACAUCUAUCACAGUAGUAAUUCAACAGCAUCUUCUAACAUUGGAAUAUCUACAUGCCAUCAUCCCACAAAAUUGGGCAUAGGCACUUCAGAAGACUGUCAUCUCUAUCUGGCGUCAUGUAUGCUUCCUAAGUCCUUCAUUUCCUCGAUAGAUGUUUAACCAUGAAAAACUUACUAACUAGUUUCUAGGUUGUGAAUAGUAACAUAAUUCUUGAAAAAGAUUGUCCUCAAAGCUGAAAGAGAAUAUGUUUAUCAAAGAAAAAAUAAGAUAGCAGCCCAUGUAACAUCCUUCAGAAAGGAAAACCCUAAUGAUUUAACUGCAAGUGUCCAUACAUGAAUCAAACGAAGUAGAUGAAACUAUGUCAGAAAUAUACCUGAUUAACCAACUGGUUUUUAAAUUUUUCUGGAUUCACCUUUCGCUCAGAGUGAAAAGCAUAAGAUACUUGAGCAUCCAUUCCUGCACACAACAUUACAACAGUACUAAUGGGGUUAAGCAGUCAACAACUUCUCAUGUUAGAAAUAAAACCUAUAAUCAAGAUAAAUGAGGACGACGAUAACCAAAUCUGUUCGUUUUAUAAUUGGAUUGUAAGAUAAAGAUAGCAAUGAAAGUGCCAACUUGCAUAGCAGUUAAAGUCUUUUGGCGAUUACAUGAGGAUCUUACCUUUCACUUAGAGUGAGAGGAGCCUAAUCCAGAUGUAAAAUGGAACUAAACACAUUAGGAAACCUUAAAUUUCACAAGGUCUCUAUUCAAUCAUAUCUUCUAUAGUAUCAUGUAUUCUUUACAAGAUUGAUCAAUUCCAUUACGCAAUGAAAAGUAAAGGAAAUACGAAAGGGUCACUUUGUGCUAUCAAAAAGUAUAAUCAAUUGCACCUUAAAGUAUCAUUACAAAAACAGUAGCAUUUUGAAGCCAUCCACAGUUAUAAGAUACUUCUGAAGAAAAUUAGGACAACUUCAUGUUAGCAACAAAACAACUUUAAUACUUUGUACAGGGAAACUACUCUUACCCAUGCUGAAGUAAUUCCAGAAUCCCCCACGAAAUGUAUGGUAACCUUCCUAUGGAGAAAAAACUUUUUCAUAUAAGAAUGCAAACCAAUAAAAAAUUAUAAGUUACAAUAAUGCUUUGCACAUAUUGCAUUUUCUUUAUAAAUAUUAAGAAUCAAGUAGAAAACAUUGACUGCAAGUUUGACCAAAGACUCUAGGAAGGAUUGUGUUACUAGAAAUUGUUAGUGUCUCAAGGGUUGCAAAGUCUUUUUAUCAUUAACAUGACUAAGUCCUAUGGGGAUUUGUUAGCUUAUUAGUAAGAGUUAUUAGCUUGUUAGUAAAAGUAGGAAGCUAGGUGUUGUUAGCUUGUUAGUAGGAGUAGGAAACUAAAAUUUGGUUGAGUUUGUUACUUAAGACAUGUUUAUAAUGUAUGGUUCAUGAAUUCAAUCAUCCUUUCCAUUCUUAUUUUCUAUGCUUCUGUUAGAUCUCUACUAAACCAAUAGUGGUAUUGAGAGCUCGUUUUCUUAAGGGACCUGUGAGAAAAGUUCUGUGAGAGUUUUGAGAGAAAAAUUGAGAGAUACACUUGUGAGGUGUUGAGGAAAAUGGAAUCGGGAUCAAGUCACAUGUCUAUCUUAGCCCUACCUAUGUUUGAUGGAGAGAACUAUCAAGUAUGGGCUGUGAGAAUGCAAGCAUACAUGGAGGGUUUUGAUUAUUAAGAAGUUAAUGAAAACUAUGAGGUGACUCCACUUCUCAACAUUCAAACUAUGAACCAGAUCAAAAUGCAUAGGAGAGAACCACCAAGAAGGUUAAGGCAAACGAUUGCCUUUAUGCUUCAGUUUCACCAACCAUAUUCAAGAGCAUGAAGGUGUUGAACUUGAUCAGAGAAUUCGAAAGGCUAUAAAUGGAGUCUAAGUCAAUCAAAGAAUACUCUGACAAGCUGGUAGAUAUUGCUAACAAGGUAAAGGUUCUUAGGACUGAUCUCUCUGAUUCUAGACUGGUGCAAAAAAUAUUAGUCUCUAUACCUGGGAAGUAUGAAUCAAUUAUUGCCUCUUUGGAGAACACCAAGGACUUAACUCAACUGAGAGUAGUGAAGUUGAUCAGUGCUUUAUAAGCACAAGAGUAGAGAAAGCUAAUGAGGUAGGAAGGAAGCAUUGAAGGAGAAUUGAAGGCUAAGAUGCAGUAGGGUGAAGUAGGAGAUGACCAAAAGUGGAAUGGGAAGAAAAGUGAUGGCAAUAGUGAUUCAGAAAUUGUUGCAAAAGGUAAUGGUACUGGAAAUUCUAACAAGUAUUCUUCAUGUAAGUAUUGUAGAAAACAAAAUCAUCCUCAUUUGAGGGGUAAGGUGGAGCACAAGCUGCAGUUAAAGAAGAAGAGGACCAGUUGCUUGUUGUCUCUUGCUUCUCAUCAAGCACUCUAUGUGACAGUUGGUUAGUUGAUAGUGGUUGCACCAACCACAUGACUAAGUUGAUUUCAGAUGUUCUGUUUGUACCUAAGAUUGAUAAAACCUUGCUGAGUGUAGAGCAAUUAGUAGAGAAGGGAUUAAAGGUGAUGUUUGAAGAGGGAUGUGUCUGAUCCUCGACUGUAGUGGCAAUGAAUUGCUUAGGAUCAAGAUGUAGAAGAAAUGUUUCUCAUUGAAUCCACUCGAGAAGGAGCAAGUGGCAUCCAAGUGUUAGGGAGGAAUGAAAUCACAUCAAAUGGACCUUUUUACUAAGCAAGUUAAGUGUUUGCUGGAGAGAUUACAUUUAGCUCCAAUACCCUGAAACUCCUGUUGGGCCAGUUUGCAAAUGACCCUAAUAACUCAAAAUCUCAACUUCAAAAUUUAGAAAGAAAGAUUCAAGAAAAAAGGAAUCAAGUGAGGGUUUUAGAGAAACACACAAUUGAGAGUGGGGAAGCUUCAAUUUCUAAUGCAUUAUUUGUCAAAAUGUAACAAACGGUUAUGAAAUUGAUGACACAAUGUAAUGAAAAGAGUUUUGAGCUUGAGAUAAAAUCAACACAUAAUCAUAUCCUUCAAGAACAACUGCAAAAUAAGUGUUCUAAGAAUAAGGAAUUGCAUGCAAAGGUAACUCUCUUGGAGCAAUAGUUGGCAUCUCUUUCUGAUGAUAAACUAUCAUCCUAUGCACAUGAAAUAUCUGAAGAAGAUGCUGAUGAGCUACGAAAAAAAUUCAAUCUCAAGAGAUUGAGAGUGAAAAACUAAAACUAGAACAGGUGCAACUUUCAGAAGAGAAUAAUGGGUUAUGUUUCCAAAAUAAAAAGUUGACUGUACAAGCUUCUUAUGUGAAAAAAUUGACAUCUGUAACUGUUGUUAAGUUUAAGAAUUUAGAUGGUGAGGUGAUCAGUGCAAAAUGCAAAAUUGAAGAAGGAAUUAUUGGUUGCGAGAAGAUCUGUUAAUCAAACCAUAAAUAGUGUUAAUCGCAAGCAUAGUGAUAACACAAGACUUUACAGGAUAGGGCGGCACUUUGACCACUAUCGUGACUUUUCUAGAGCAGUUGGUGAUAAUUUUGAAAUGUGAAAUUUUGAUCUAGAUGAUCUAAUUAUGGAAUUGCAGGCUAAGAAACAACUAGAGGUAGCUCUUGAAGUUGCACUAGCCGAGAAGGAAUUCAUGGAAGAUGAAUACUGAAAAAGUUAAAGGAACUGGUUUAUUGCAGAUUAGAGGAUCAGAUGAUAAAUAUUUUUACUAAAUCUUUCCAUGUUAGUCUAUUUGAGUUUCUUAGGUAUAAACUUGGUGUCUGCAACACUUGAGUCAGGAGGGAGAAUGUUAGUGUCUCAAGGGCUACAAAGUCUUUUUAUCAUUGACAUUACUAAGUCCUAGGGAGAUUUGUUAGCUUGCUAGUAGAAGUAGGAAGCUAGGUGUUGUUAGCUUGUUAGUAGGAAUAAGAAACUCAAAUUUGGUUAAUUUUGUUACUUGAGACAUGUAUAUAAUGGCUGCUUGGUUAAUGAAUUUAAUCAUCCUUUACAUUCUUAUUUUCUAUGUUUCCAUUAAUUCUCUACUAAACCAGCAGAAAUAUUCAAAGAACAAAAGAUAUUAAAAAAUCUUAUGAAAUCAGAAAAAAGAUAUUCAGUUGUCAGUAACAAGAGAUGGCCUUAAGGUUUAAAAAAAUAUACAAUUUCUUAAUUGCAAAAAACAAAGUGACACAGAGAAACGACUCUAAGGAGACACAAAGGUAAUGGUAGAAUGUCUUACCAUGUUCAGUUCAUCUGUUGAAGAGACGCGACUGAAAGCAUGUAAAGAGUGUGGUAGCUCAAGAGGUGCAACAGGAUCACAGGAACCUCCCUUUGGAAUUUUCAUCCUCAUAAGAAGAUGCCAACUGAAUGACAAAAAUGCAUUUACCAGUAACUAAUUGAAGUUUUUUUUAUUAGUCAACACUAUAUUGAUUGAAAAAUAAUAAGCUAAACCAUACCUUGUAAGGAGAAUAUUUUCCAAAAUAAGACAUUAUAUCCCCACAGAGGGGGAAAAUACAAGUGAAAGAAUAAUAAUGCAGUAAUGUAGUUAUAUAUCAGGCUUUGAGAGUUAUAGAAAGCAUGGUAAGCAAAAAUGCUUCUUAAUUCUGGCCUCCUUAAGAGUAGAAUCUUAGUGAAAAUGAUGGAAAGAAUCGAAAGAGAAGAAAAAAUUGUUCUCCCAAUGCUGUAGUUAUUUUAGGGAAGGACUCUUUUUAUAUCCUACAUCUUUCCUAGUAGAUAUCAUUUAUCAAAAAACAGUCGCACAUUAGUAAUUAACGAUUCUUCCCUACUGUAAACUUCCUACAAUAUUAGUAAUUAACGAUUUUGUUCCCACUGUAAACUUCCUACCAUAUUAGUACACCGUCAAAGGAUUAACCGAUGAUUUCUACAGGAGAAAAUUUACACCAUAACCUGGUAAAGAGAGACAGAGAGAGAGAGAGAGAGAGAGAGAGAGAUGUCAACAACAUUACUUGUCUAUUUUCAUUUCCUUUGAUUUCAUUACUUGUUCCAAGAAUGACAACACAGAAUUACGAUCAGUCUCGGGAUUCUUCUUUCCCUGCAAUUUAGAAAACUGCAAGUUAGACAAGCACUCAAUUGCUCGUAAAUUAUUGGAGAUAUAUCAUGUAUAGAGACUUUCAUAAUAUUCCUAUUUCCAAUUGCAGUGCCGAUCAAGAAUUUGAAAAACUUAGAGCAAACAUUACAAAUUUCCCUGGAAGGGAACUAGCCUCAAAUCCAUAUUGGAAAGUCAAAAAUAAACAAAACGGAGAUAUGAAAUAUUCGAAGGCUUCCGAGCCAAUUAAAGCUUCCUGUGCCCAAAACAUGACACCAUGACCACUUAUUGAUUGUUUCAUGUAAUAAAACAUAUCAAGAUACUUGAAUCCUCAUUUUAUCACUUGAAAGAAAUUCUUACCCAACCAAAAGCAAAAGGCAGGUUGUUUCCCGUUCCCAAAGGAACUGUAGCAAUUGGAGGCGGAUGUGACAAUUUAAGAUCACAAACAACCCCAAGAAGCCAGCCAGCUGUUCCAUCCCCACCAGCAACCUAAAGAUCAAGCUAGAAGUGAACAAUAAUUAAAAUAGUAGUAACGGUAUAAAUAAUGAUUGAAUUAAUGGGGAUAGAGGAAAGAAUUAUUUUAGGUAUUAUUUGUGGAUAUCAAUAUGAAAGAUAAAAAAGGUAUAGUUUAAAAUUAUAUAUUUUAAAAACAUAAAAAAUCAUUUUUUUAAAAUUAAAAAUUAUAAAAAAAAAUUUUAAAAUUUCAACAUGUUAUUGAGAACCCAAACCGACAUAUCGACUAUAAAUUUGAGAUUAUGAGGAUUUUAUGUCUUUCUUUGACACAAUUAUUGCCUUGUAAUCACAUUAAUCGACUACAUUAUUCCAAUAAAUAAAAAAAAUUCAUACUAUUCCAAUAAAUAAUUUUUUUUCUCUAUUAUUCCGGGAAAAAAAUUCUAGUUUAAGUAAUAAUAAUGCACUACCGGUCCUGGCUAUUUGUAGCCUCGUUCUAGAAAGAUAGACUUACAAUUAUUUUUAAUCUCUCAUAAAUCUUUGCAGCAAAUUUAUCAUUUUCUUGUUUCAGCUUUUCCAGACUGAUGUAAAGUCUACGAAGCACCUUAUCAGGGGCUUCUUCCCCCAAAUCGGUAACCUGAAAUCAGUCACACUGAUAUCAAUCCCAAAGCAAAAUAUCCAAAUAUAUCAGAUAAGGUUAUUUGAACAAAAAUAUAAGGUAAAAUUAUUGGUUUGAUUCGAAACGUACUUUAUAAAAUGUUUUGGCUGACAAAACCAGUGUGUUUGAUUGUCAAAAAAGAGCUUUUGAACAGCUCAAAAGCAAUGUCAAACAAGCAUUAAACGUACCUGACGUUCAUUGAGGAGAGCUCUAUAUGUUACAAGAAGAUCGCCACCCAACUGACCGCCACUCUUGGAGUUGAUAAAAACUAACACUGGAUACUUAGGUGCAUCGGGAACAUCGGAGAUGUUUGUUUCGCCACUAAAUAUAUAGGUAGGAAUGUAGAAUUCCUUCAAGAAAUCAGCGUCGUAUUUGGAGCCAGCCAUUAACGGCUCCAACUGCAUUAUCAAACCAUAAACGAUUGUCGUACCACGGGAAAUUACCAGGAGUUAAAACAAAAGAAGUAGAAGUAGCUGCACCAAUCAUUGAAUUAUACCUUGCGUUUAAAUGAAUUCCAGCCUCUUAUCAAGGACAUUGAGAUCGAUUAUACCAUCUGAAAUAUUGAUCACAACUUAAAUGAUAGUAAGUAAGAAGGAAAAAAGGCUUAAAUUAAAAAAAGAAGCAACAAGGAUUUCGAGCUGAAGCCUCUUUGCUUGCUAAAAAUUGAAAGAAACAAAUGACUGUUGUUCCUUGUGAUUGGAGGCUGAAUUUUAAUUUUACAGAACAAAGAGAAGAGAGAUUUAAGAGAUACCUGACAGAUGAAUAAGAAUAAGACUUUUUUUUUUUCUUUGGCUUUCUUGAGGUGUGAUUUGUGAUUCAAUGAAAGCGUUUUAACUUUGCCAUCUCAAAGUUGUAUGAAUGAAACGUUCAAAUAGGAGAUGUAAAAGGACAGAGUUGACUUGGUCUGUUCCCUAUAGGUGUAGUAGCCCAAUUUUGCAAACUAAACCAAACCAAAAAUAAAUAAAUAAAUAAACCAGAAAAUUAAUAAAAGUAAAAAAAAUUCAUUUACAAAAUACAAGCUCAUAUACAUUAAAAAAAAACAAAGCUCUAAAACCCAAAUAUCCAACGGCCCAAUAGCCCAAAACAUAAACAAAAAAAAAUCCUAGAACCCUAAACUCCCUGCCAUAUCAGCAAGUGCGCCGCCCGAGAUCUGCCCAACUUUCACCGAAAUAGGAAAGAACGCGACUCCCCACUAGACCUGUCCAUGGGUUGGGCGGCCCGGCCCGGCCCGAUGGUCCGCCCGAAAUAUGGGAGGGUUCGGGUAAAAAUAUAGGCCCAAAAUAUGGGCUUGGGCAAAAAAAUGAGGCCCGUUUAAAAAAAUGGGCCGGGCUCGGGCUCAACUUUUUUGGCCCGGGCCCGGCCCGAAUAUAAUAAAUAUAUAUUUUUUAUUUUUAUUUUUUAAUUUUAAAAUACUUUAAAAAUAUUUUUUUAUUUUUUUAUUUUUAAAAUAUUUUUUUGUGUUUAUUAAAAAUCGGGCCGGGCCGGGCUCGGGCUUACUCUUUUUUCCCGAGCCGGGCCUAGGAAAAAUUUCAAGCCCAUAUUUCGGGCCGGGCCGGGCCUAAGAGUCGGGCCAAAAAUUUUUUUCUGGGCCCGGCCCGGCCCAUGGACAGGUCUACUCCCCACCAUGGUUGACUGAAGAGCUCCUCGCCACCAUCACGCGAAAGUGCCUGCAAAAACAAAAAAGAAAGAAACAGAAACAACAACAGCAACAGCAACAGAAAAAAGAAAAAUAAAAAAUGUAAUCGAUUUGGCUAUAAAAGCAUAGCAAACACACUGUAAUUUUUUCACGAAGAAAUUUAGCAAAGAAUCAAAAAAUCAAAAAAGGUGUUCUUUUCAUGUUCAAUAGGCUAUUCUUUUUUUCUAUUUUUAUUUUCUUUUUAUAAAAAACAUAAAAGAAAAAAGAUUUAAAAAAAAAAACUUACCGCGCCAUUUCUACUCCCAUCUUCGUCGGCUGCAGCUCUUUGCCGAUUCGAGGAGUCUCCUAACCCAUUUACUUAACUUGCACUUUUAUCCUUAAGUUUCUUAAUCAUCUCAUUUUAAAUCAUUUUUGCUUUUUCUUUAUUUUUUAAUGUUGAUGUUAUUGUUAAAUAAUUAUUUUUGCUAAUUAAUAUUUUAUUUGGUCAUCACUAAUAUUACACAACCAUGAUCAUAGCAUUCAUAAUUUUUUUAUUACUUUACCUUUUUUUGUCAUUACUAAUGUUCCACUUAUUAUUUUACUAUUAUUUUCAUUAUUAAAUAGUAUUGUUAAUCGGCUAAAAAUUAUUCCAAUUACCACUUGUUAUUAUUUUGUUAUCAUUUUUUGACUAAGCUAUUCUAUACUAUUUUUGUCAUUUCCAUAUUAUGCAACAUGAUUAAAUAUUCGUUUAUUUUUAUACCAACACUUGAAUAAAUUAAUCGCAUACUGCAUUAAACGUUAUAUUCAUUUUUACUAGAUGCAUAAAAAAGAAUUUUUUUAAAAAUCGAGGCAACGUUCUUUUUUUAGGUAUUCGAGAAAUAGUGUCUUAAUUUACAGGGUACAACUUUCUCCUUAAACCAAGAUAAACGAGCAUCCUUUUAAAAUUCAAAAUAUAUAAGAUUUAGGUAAUAAUUAAAUAACGAGAAUCAUUACUUUCAAGGAUUCGAGAUAUCGUGCCUUAACUGAUGGGACAUGAUCUUUUUCUCGAUUGACUCGAAAUAAGAAGGCUCUUUCCAUAAAAUUUAAUUUAGUUUGCAAUCAUGUAAGAAGGGGGUUGUAUCUUAAAUUUUCUUUGAAUUUUCAAUUAUCGACACUAAGACAUCAAGUAAUCAAUUAGGUACCAAUUUUGAGCGUUAUAAGGGUGCUAACCCUUCCUCAUAUGUAACUGACUCCCAAACUCAUUUCCUGAAUUUUCUAGACCGAAAAUUAUCGUUUUAAUAAAUCUAACAUUUUAUUAAAAUGACCAAGUUUUGAGGUGAUCCAAUCACACCUAAAUAAAAAGGAUUGGUGGAAACUCCAUUUUCGUUUUUAAAAUAAAAUUCAAUUUCCAAAAAGGUUUCGACAUUUUGCCGACUCCAUUGGAGAUAAAUAAGAGAGUCAAGCCACGAGUUGAUUACUUUUUGGUCUUUUUGUCGAAAAUUGAUAAUUCAGUUUAAAUUGAGGAUCCCCUCCUUGUAUUUCAUCCUUCAUAUUUUAUUUUAGCGGUAAAUAAUGUCUUUAUUAUCUUGGGUUACAUAAUGAUUCAAUAUGUUUGCUUUAUUGGUUCGAGUUUCUCUUGGUAUAUUUUCACGUAUAUUGCAUGGCAUAAUCGUUCCAUUUUACCUUUCUUAAGUGGGAGUGGGAAGUUAUUCUUUCGUGAGGUCUUCACCUCUGUAUAGGAUAGUGGGUCACUUUCGGGAUACAUUCGUACCUAUGUCUUCGUGAGAUUUUCAUCUUCAUAUAGCCAUAGGGAAAUGUAUUCCCCUAAACUGACCUUAGUCUGUAUGAGCCUAUAAUGGGCAAGGAUUGAGGAAUUUGCUAGUUCAGGUACCCUUUACUUUAGAGCUAAGCCGCAUAUAAUGAGCCCUAAAGAACCUACCCUAGGUAGAAUCAUAUCAAAUCUUUAGUGGUCACUCGAAUAGAUGUUCUAUUUAUUAUUUCUUGUUGUGUAUUCUAGCUUUGUAUGAAAUGUACUGACUUGUUUUGUUUUGGCCGUGUUUGCAUUGCAUUAUCAUCAUAGAAAAGGGUGUUGAUUCAUGUUCAGUUGCUAAAUAGAAAGCUUGUCAUGGAAAAGGGAUUUCUUAAUAAAGUGGAAGACAAUGCGGCCAUGCGAAUAUAGUCCGAGAAAACACAACAAGAGAAAGGUGACAGCCUAACAGAGGGGUACAUGUCGAAAUUAUGGGAUUUCACCCGCUUUAGAGUGACUCAGAAUAAUCUUCAAGAGUGGAAAGAAAUAUGGGACCAAUAGAAUGACGGAAUCAAGUAGUUAUUCUAUCGUGAAUAUGGUGAUUUAUCUUAUCUACUCGAUGUCAAAGUAGAUACGUACCUAUUCCGAGCUCUUUCCCAAUAUUGGAAUCUCGCUUAUAGCUACUUCACUUUUAGGAAAAUAGACUUGGUGCCCAUCGUAGAAGAGUUCACCACUUUGCUCUGUUGCCCGAGGGUCUAGGUCGACAAAGCCUAUUCUAGAGCCACUAACGUCCCGACUUUCUUAAAGAGACUGAUGAACAUAACUGGGAUGAGCGAGCAAUGGGUCGCAACCUAGAUUAAACAAAAAGAAGAUAGUAAAUGCAUCCCUUGGAAAAGUCUGCGGGAUUUGAUCUUAGCACAUCCAGAUGAGAGGAAAAGGGUCGACGUCUUCGCAUUGAGUAUUUAUGGGUUGGUCAUCUUAUCCCAAAGCACUAGGACAUGUAGAUGAUGCAGUUUCAGGUCUAUUUGACCAACUUGACAAAAGGGUCACCCUCGUCCCAAAAAUUUUGGCUGAAACUUUUAGAUCUCUAAGUGCAUGUCAGAAAACGGGUGAAAGAAGAUUUAUCGAAUGUGCACAGCUUUUUCUAGUUUAGUUCCAUAGUUUCUUUUGGAAGAUAAAAAAAAAGUCACAUAUUGAGUGUUCUCUAAGGACUAUUCCCCGUUGAAAGAAUUCGUGGCUAUCCCAAGAUAAGACAAUAUUUCUAAAGAAAAUUGGAUAGCAAUUCUCCAAAGUUUCCAAGACGAAGACGUUGAAUGGAGGGCCCCUUGAAUGCUCCCUGAUGAAAUUUUGUACCGAUGUGGAUACUUUGAUUGGGUCCCUCUACUCAAGAUAUGUGGAGUUGUUGGACAUGCCCCUCUACUUUUAUUGAGAUAGUAUAAGUCGACGCAUUUUAUACCAGUAACGCAAGGGUUGGCUUAAUGCGAGUUUGCAUACAAAUGUGAUAAUUACAAAAAGAAGGUUCAUAAAAUGUCGAACGCUUGGAACCAAACUCACAAAACGAAAAGAUUUGUCGCCAAUCCCAUGACAACCCUCGAGUAUGAUUGGUGGUGGGGUAAACGAAUCAAUGACAAUGUCCCUUCGUCAAGUUAAGAAAAUACUCGGCUGAUAGAGGAACAUUUGCAAGUAAUCCCGUCUGAAUUAGAGAUCGUAAAGCAAGGCUUCGAAAAGAACAGUUUGGAGCUAGGGAAAAUGAUAGAAAAGUUGGAAGAGAAAAAGAUUCAACUAGGAUUAGACGUUGACGUCCAAAAGUUAGAAGCUGAAAAAAUGAGAAAUGAAAAAAAAAGGCUGAGGAAAACUUGGACAGCUUAAAAACAGAUUAUAAGAAACUCCGUUUGUCGAUAAGGACCGCUGGGUUGGGUAAAACAUCGGAACAAUGGCGGCAGGAAAUCCAAGAAGAAAAUAUUAGAGUUGAUUAGUGGGAAAACAAAAUCCAAGAUGCUCGAGUCCGAGAAGAUGCUCUAAAAAAAUAUUUAUUAGAAAAUUGAGAUGAAAAGGUUGGAUUGAGAGCCCGAGUACCGGAAUUAGAAAGGUCACUACAUCAUCACUAAUAUUACAUAACCAUGAUCAUAGCAUUAUCAUAAUUUUUUAUUACUUUACCAUUUUUUGUCUUUACUAAUGUUCCACUUAUUAUUUUACUUUUAUUGUUAUUAUUAAAUAGUAUUAUUAAUCAGCUAAAAAUUUUUUCAACUACCACUUGUUAUUAUUUUGUUAUCAUUUUUUGACUACGUAAGCUAUUCUAUACUAUUUUUUCUAUUUUCAUAUUGUGCAACAUGUUUAAAUAUUCGUUUUUUUUUUGUACCAACACUUGAAUAAUUUAAUAGCAUAUUGCAUUAAACGUUAUAUUCAUUUUUACCCGAUGCAUAAAAAAUAUUUUUAAAAAAAAAAAAACCAAGACAAGGUUCUUUGUUUAGGGAUUCGAGAAAUAGUUCCCUAACUUACGGGGUACGAUUUUCUCCUUGAACCAAGAUAAAUAAGCAUCCUUUUAAAAUUCAAAAUAUAUAAGAUUAGGUAAUAAUCAAAUAACGAGAAUCCUUAUUUUCGAGGAUUCGAGAUAUCGUGCCCUAACUUACAAGACAUGAUCCUUUUCUCGAUUGACUUGAAAUAAGAAGGUUAUUUCUAUAAAAUUCAAUUUAGUUUGCAAUCAUGCAAGAAGGGGAUUGUAUCUUAAAUUUUCUUCGAAUUUUCAAUUAUCGGCACUAAGAUAUCAAGUAAUCAAUUAGGUACCAAUUUGGGCGUUAUGAGGGUGCUAACCCUUUCUCAUACGUAACCGACUCCCGAAACUUAUUUCUUGAAUUUUAUAGACCGAAAAUUAUCGUUUUAAUAAAUCUAACAUUUUAUUAAAAUGACCAAAUUUUGAGGUGAUCCAAUCACACCUAAAUAAAAAAAAUUGGUGGCGACUUUAUUUUUGUUUUUAAAAUAAAAUUAGAUUUUCAAAUUCGGUUUUAUAAAAUUAAUACUUUAGCAAGACCUGUGAUUUGGAUAAUCUACUUUAACGACAACAAAUUGACGUUAAGUAAAUCUUAUAAAUAGAUUUAAUCUUCAUCAUUAAAAAAUAAUAAACUAAUAUUGGAUGGGAGCCCACAUCUCAUUUAAGUCGAAAAAGAAAGGAUUCAUUUAUUUGAUUCACUAAGGCUGUUACGAGAAAUAUGUAGGGCAAAGGCACACUUCCCAGUACACAUGAUAUAUGGUUGCCCUGGAUAAGAAAUACAACACUUGGAUGAAAAAGUGCCUACAAAUGCUAAACUCAAAGGAGCUUCAGACUUUGUUCGAAAUUAGUAAGGAAUUCAUCCAUUUCAUUCUUGUUUAAAGCUACACCCACCUCUACUCCGCUUUCUCCAUCCCUGCAUUCCGCCAGAGAUAUUGCUCCAUCGUAAUCAAUGUGGGUCAGCUCAACCAUGCAAGGCCUUCCCCACCCAAAGUUCGUUUCAUACACUUGUAAUUUUGGCGACCCUGCAACCACUGUAAAACGCCCUGUCAUAGUUCCAAUUCUUUUAUCACUUCUCUCCAUUUCUUUAAUUCCUUUUCCUAUAGCCUUAUCAGCCAAAAUAAUUCCACUUUCUCCUAAUACUUCCCUUUUCUUUAUCUCAAUAGCGCAUGGUUUUAAACAAUUCCCAAGGUAUGUUGUUGGUACCCAGAAUUCCAGGCGGUUCCGGCUAUCAUACGGAAAAAGGAAGUAAUACAACUCAUCGUCACCGUUGUCAUGUGAUAAAUUAUUGGCAACACUCUCUUUUGAUUUAAUCAAACAAACCCAUAUGUAGGCACAUGUCACUACGAAAGUUGAGAUGUGAUAGUGCUCUGUAUCAACGCUGCUCCUGCACUGUGCUGUGACCAAACGCUUUAGUCUUUCGGCAUGGACUCGACCUAACACAAAUGUGGCGCGAACCUUAUCUGCUGCUAUAUCUUGGGUCGAUGCUGAAUUCUCACCGCUGGAUGAUACCCAAUCCCAAUAAUUCUUCAAUAGAACCAACUCUAUGCCACCAGGAUCCUUGAUAAUAUCCCUUUUAAUAAAAGGAAAUGAAUUUUCGAGACAAGCCAAGUCUCCACCCGACCUAUAAACAGACGUUCAAGACCUCAUCAAAUGCAUGAACGACUUGCCAUCACCAACAGCAUGGCAAUAAGUUGACCCGAUGCAGAUGCCAAAGUUUGGAAACACGGUGACUUGAAAGGCUAAGAUGGGGAGCACACGACUACCGUCUUCGGUUACAUGCUCCGAUGGUAGUUGAGGUACAAAGGGGUGUAACAAUUUAACAGGUCGCGGAUAAUUGGCUAUGACAUGGUUGAAAUCUGCAGCAGAUUCAGCAACCGUGAAGGCGACAAAGUCACCCUCCAUGUAAUGGAUAUAAGGCUUACCGGGCGGUUGAGGGCACAUGAUAUUAGCUGCGUAUGGGAAAAAAUGUUGGAGAGUUAGGGAGAGAGAACGUUUUAGCAUAGGAAGAGUGGUCUCAAUGAAGUGGGAAGUAGGGUGAGGGAAUUCAUAGAAGAAAAGGCGUUGUACAGGUGGAUUAGGUACCCAAGGAAUGUCAAAAUAAGUGAGAGGCACAGAGAUUGUUGGAACAGAGCCUGGAGGAGGUGAAACACGAAAGCUAUCAACAAGCUUAGCCAUUUAGGAUAAGAUCCAGAAAUUUUGCACGCUUACUGCCGACGAUUCACCCUAUUAUAUACAGCAAAUGGGGAGAAUUGUUAUUAUCUAUCAAUACUACCAAAUCUAAGAAGGCCCUAGUUUGACAGCUAUUAUAUAUAUGGUAGAGUAAACUAUUAAAAUAAUCACUUUUGUUUCUUUUAGAUUAUAUUUUAGUCAUUUAUGUUUAAAAUAUUACGUUUAAGCCACUUACGUUAACAUCUUAACAUUUUAGUCAUUGAGCCGUUAAUUAUCAUUAAUAGUGUAACAGUAAGCUGACGUGACACGUUAAAUCAUCAUUUUAAACAAAAAUUUUAGGUUAAAUUAUACAAUUGGUCUCUAAAAUUUUUUUGUUUUAAGCACUUUUUUCUUUUAUAUUCUUUUAAUUUUCCCUUCUUUUUCUUUUUACAUUCUCUUCUACUUCUCGCUCUAUUUUUCUCCCUUCUCCAUCUCUUUUAACAUAAAAGAAAAAAAAUUAAAUUUCUCAAAACGAAAAAAAUAUGGGGACUAAGUGUAUAAUUUAACCUAAAAUUUUCGUUUGAAAUGAUGAUUUAACGUGCCACAUCAGCUUACUGUUACACCGUUAAUGACAAUUAACACUCAGUGACUAAAAUGUUACAAGACAAUAACAUAAGUGACCAAAAUAUAAAUUUCAAAUAUAAGUGACUAAAAUGUAACCUGAAAGAGACAAAAGUGACUAUUUUGAUAGUUUACCCUAUAUAGUAAAUGAUUUUGUCAUCAUGGGUGUCUUUUUUUUUUUUUUGCCCUAUAAGAUAAUAGUAAAUUUUCAGUAUUGAUCCUUCUACUUUACUAAAGUUUAGAAUUUAGUCUAUAUUUUAAUUUGACAUAAUUUGAUCAUCUACUUUAUCAAUGGCAUUAGUUGGUCUAAAUAAUUAACAUCCUCAAAUAUUCUAUUAAAAUGUUAUCGUGAAUUUUUCUUAAAAAUACCUUUUUAACACGAUUUCAAUAUGCGAAAUUUGAAACGGGUAUUUUUAAAAAGAAUUUAACCUAAACAUUUUAAUCAAAAUUAAAGCAUAAAUAUUAAAUACCAUAUAUCCUUUUGAGCAAACCAUGAUGGCCAGUUUAGAUGUUGCCAUCUUAUUCGGAUCUUUUGACAUUGUUUUAGACUUGAUACAUAUUUGUGCUACCAACACACUAUUUUGUUAAUUAAUUGAUAAAAAAUCAAACCCCAGCUUAUCUAGUCUUCCAUUAUAAAGUAGCUGACAUUUAAUAUAUUUAAUAUGUCGUAUAAAAAUAUUUAAUAUUUUAAAUGUAUUUAAUAAUUAUUUUAAUUUUUUAUUUAAUAUAAAAUUUUAAUAAAAAAGUCUUGAGUAAGAUAAAUAAGUAGAUAACUAUUUAUCAUAUUUUUAUUUUAUUAAAAAUUAAAAUAAAUUAUUUAAAAAUAAAAUAUUCAAAUCAUUAUAUUUAUCUUUGAUCUAAAAUUAUUUAAAAUAAUAUAAAAUAUUAUAUUAUAAGAUUAAAAUUAAAAAUAAAUAAUCUUUUAAAAUCAAUAUUUAAUUUUAUUAAAUAACACAAUUAUAUUCCGUACUUAUAUUUACUAAUUUACCAAACAAUUGUAUAAUAUAAGAUAUUUUAAGUUUAGUUAAACUACAUCUUGAUGACUGAGUUGACAGAAAAAAAGAUAUUUUAUAAAUUAAAUAUUUGUAUACAAAAGAUGCUAAUUAAAUUCUGGUAUAAUGAUUUAUAUGACCUUCUAAUUUAUAAAAAAAUUAUUUUAAUUCUCUAUUUAAUUUUUUUAUCUUUUUUAACUCUUAAACUUACAUUAUUUAUCAAAUCACUUCAAAUGGAAAAGCUAACAUCCGUUACUUUCUUGAUGUGGUAUACAUGUGAUGUCACGUUAAAAAUUAAUUAUUUUUAAUAUAAAAAAUCAAAAAUUAUUUAAAAAUUAAAAAAUAUAAAUAUAAAAAAAUUUAAUAUUUUUAAUUUAAAAAAUAAUUAAUUGCUAACGUGACAUAUACCUGAACUUCUACAUAGAUGUCACGUUAGCAAAAUUAACAAACGUUAACUUUUUUUUAUUUAUUUUGAAAUGAUUUAAUAAAUAAUUAAAGUUGAAGGGCUAAAAGAUUAAAAAAAUAAUUAACCAAGAUAACUUAUUUUAUAAAGUAAAUGACCAAAUAAAUUAUGAGACAAAAAAAACUCAUACUUUAUUUAUGUAAAAUGAGACUUCAAGCUAAAAUCUUAAAAUUUUAAUUUCAACGUGGAAAAAAUUUUAAAAUUGAACCAGACAUCAAACCGAUGUUACACGUACAGCUUAUGUCUUCUUCCAUUGUUUUAAAUGAUCAAAUGAGUUUCACAUUACAUUUGAUUUUUCUAACAUCUCACCUAUAAUUGGCGAUAAAAUAUUCAUUUCAACAAUAGCAUUUUUACCAAAAUAAAAUAAAUAAAUAUUUUUCAAAUAAUAUAAAUAAUCUUUUUUAUGAAAAUAAUAUGUUUAAAACAGUAAACAAUGGCAUCCAAAUUAUCUAGAAAUAUAAUUAUUUAUAUAAAUGAUCCUAAUUCAAAGACAAUUACCCAAAUAAUUUGGAAUGAACAACAAAACAGGAUAGGGGACUUAAAUGGCUGGCAUCACCUAUUUUUCUGACAGAAUUAUUACCUAAUGAUUAUGUUAAGUGUUAAAAUAAUAAUUUUUUAGGUGUUGGAGACUAGAUGACCGGUAUCCUAGUAUUUAUUUUCACCUCAUAUUAUACUGGUAUAUGUAACAGCCCAAUUUUGACCCUAAUCAGAAUAGUGGUUUUGGGACCACAAAUCCGAGUCUAUAAAAAAUAUAAAAUAAAAAAUAUUUUAAUAUUAUUUUGUGUGUUUAUGAUGUGUGUAUUUACAUGUGUGAAAGUUUCAUGAAAUAAUUUUAUUGUUUGUGUGCUUAAUUUGAGAAAAUGGCUUAAUCGCGUAAAAUAAAAAUUUGAUGGUUAAAUAUGAAAGUGCCUAAUUAUUGUUGUCUUUAUAAUUUGGAAGUUUUAUGUUGUAAUUUAGCCAAUAGUAAAUGUAGUGGACGGCAUGAUGGUUUAUAUAUAUAUAGUUUUUAUAUAUAUUAAAUGUAAAAGUAAAAUAAUAUUAUUAUAAUAUAAUGCUAAUAAAAUAAAACAUAAAAUAAAUGAAUCAUGCAUUAUUUUCAUCCAUAGCCGAAACAUCAAAAGAAAAAGUAAGAAAAGAAGAAAGCUAGGUUCGGCCAUUUUGUCCUUUGAUUUAGGUAUGUGUUUUGUUCGGUUUUUGAUAAUUUUUACGUUUUUGAGAUCGUUGCUUUGAAUACUUCAAACCCCAUGUAUUAAUUUUGUGAAUUGUUGAUGAUUUUGAAAUGUGCCAUUGAUGAAUGUUUGAGUUUCAUGAUGUUAGUUGAUGAAAUAUGAAAUAUAAGUGUUAGAUUAACAUGUUUUGUCUUUGAAUUUUUGGUGAAUUUAAGUAAUUAGGGCUAAAUUGAAAAAAUAAAUUUUUCAAUGACUAUAAUGUGAAAUAAAUAAAAUGCAUGAGCUUGUAUAGACACUAGGAAUAUUUGGCCCUUAAGGAGUGUAGUAAAAAAUUUGUGUAUUUUGUGUUUUGAGCAAAAAAGGAUUAAAUUGUAAAAAGUGUAAAAUGUUAAGGGUAAAAUUGUAAUUUUCCCAUUUAUAUGUUCUUAGACUAAAUUGAAUGAAAAUAUGUUUAAAUAAGAUUUAUUUGAAUAUGUUUAGAUCAAGAAACCAAGAAACCAGAUCCAGAUCGGGGGAAAUCGAAAGUAGUUGAGUAGCCGAUCUAUUAGUCGACGACAUCCGAGGUAAGUUAUUAAGCAUAUAUAUAAUUGUAUCGUUUUAAAAUCAGUUUAGUAUCUAAGUAAUUAUGCUGAAUUGAAUGGUAUAUAUAUACAUGUAGUGAUAAAAUUAUUGAAAUAAGAUGUAUUGAGUUGUUGACUUUCGACACUAAGGCUUUGUUCGAUAGAGGAAAACCAAUUUCGAAAUUGGUUUUACACGUUUUCCAAUGUUUGAUAGCAGAAAAAUAUUUUCCUUUUGUAAAACCAAUUCCGCAACACGGGAAAACCUAUUACAAAUUUGGGGAAAAUGUCUUACGCUUUUGAACUCGGUAAGACAUUUUCCGGAAAAUGAUGCCUUCUUCUCCCCUUUCCCCUUUCCCCUUUCCCUUCCCCUUCCCUUUUCCCUUCCCCUUGGAUUGCAAAUCAGUUUGGUCAAGGACCUCUUCCGGUUCCUCCUUAAUCCAGGUAAGGCUCCUUCUUCUUCUUCCGUUCUUCAUUCCUUUUUCUUCUUCUGUUCUUCAUCUUCUCUUCUCAGCAUAUUCUGUUUUGUUUCCUCUCUUCCUCUCUCGUUCUUUGAUUUCUAACAUUUUUAUUUUAAUGAAUUAUGCUGAUUGUCAUCAAAUUGAGAGAAAGUAUAGUAGCCGAUGAAGAUUACAGAUUAUCUAUUGGGCUAUUCUCCUCCUAUUUGGGCGACUUUUCUUGCUGGAUGAUAUUUUGGUUAUAUUUUGGUUAUAUACAGAUGGUUGAUUAUGUCAUUUAAGCAUAUAUUCUUCAUAAAUCUCCCCUUGAAAAAAAAAAGAAAAAAGAAAUUUCUUCAGUUCAAUGGUGUUAUUCAAUGACUACCUUUUUUACUAUGCAGGGUGCUGUAUAAGCCAUAGAUAUGAUUAUGGAGCCAUCAUCCUACUAGGUAAUCAUUUUGGAUUUGGUUUUAGCUAUUACACAAGCUUCUAAAUAUAAAAUGCUAACAUCACACAACUUACUUUUUUUUUGAUAAAUCACACAACUUACUAUCAAAUGAAUAUACAAGGGAACAUCUUUGUGGCCAAUGUCUAAUCCCUUGCUCAAAUUACCAGUGAUGCCAUGGACUUGUGAUAGUUCACUAUUUGUCUGCUAGGUGAGCAGAUAUGGAAGAGAGCAAAGCUCUUCCCCAAAACGUAGAUGGAUAGGAUAAGAUGUGGACUAGGGUAAUCUUUUAUAUGAAACAGAGUAUUCAUUGAUGGUUUAUUGCAUUGCCUCUAGUGAGAUUCAUAGUCAUCUUCACUAAAUGUAUAUCAUAUGAUAACCAGUUGGGUUUGGGUUAAGUCUAGAACUAUUUUCUACUUUUUCUUUGUGCAUUUUUUGGCUAGGAUGAGUUGUACAGGGCAAGUAAAACAAUUCUUUAGCUUCUAAGAAUUCCCUAUUUCUUUUUCUGAAGAAUUUUGUCAGCUCUACUUGAUUGUACCAAAGCAUCACUUCCUUAAAGUCUUCUAUUAGAUGUGCAGAUGUUACUAUUAGCUAGUAGCUGCACUUCCUUAGAGUCUUCUAUUAGAUGUUUUCGUACCAAAGUUCAGCAGGAUAACAGCCUGACGCCAUAUAUUUAUUUAACUAAAAUAUGGCUUGUGAUAUUUUGCUUCAUUUGAGGUAAUGUUCUUAGUAACAUUAAGAAAAUGAUAGUAAUUAUCCCCUUUCUUUUUAAUGCAUAUUUAAAUGGAAAUGGUUUUUUGUGAUCAAGAUGAAAAGAAUAGAGCACAUAUUUCGAAGUGGCUAAGGUUAUCCAUUAGAAUGUAUGGAAGUUUUGAGAAGUCAUUGGACGAGCUGAGAUCCUUUUUCAGAGAAGUCAAUGUCCAUUUUGAGUUCCUUUAUUAAUAUUUCCUUUCUUUUUAGACUGUUUGGUUUUCUUGUGCAUGGAUUGUGGUCUAAUGGUGUUAUAUAAGGUCUUUUCUCUGACUUCACUUGUUUGCAGGACUUGGUUUUCAAGAAAUCAUGCUCAUUCCUUGAUGUUACUUAAAAAAAACAUAUUAUUUAUCACUAAGCAAAACAAUACAUGUUGACUUGUCACAUUGUGCUGAAAACAAAGUUUCAACUGAGCAAAUCACUCAAAAUCGUCUUGCAGCAUACAAAUAUGAAAAUCUUCCUCACACUCCUUUUGUGAACGAUUUCUGUCUUUUUUCAUAUAAUAAUAAAGCAAAUGAGAGGUUUAUAUUUGAUCGAUUUCUGUCUUUUUCUUCUAUAAUUUCCUGGCCUUAUGAUGCGGGGAACCUUAUUGAACCCCAUAUUAUUUUAGGAAAAUAUAGUCAUUUUUCUCAUAUUGUACUAGUUGAACUGUAUUGUUCUUUUAUAUAUGUGCUGCUAUAAUUUUACCGGGUUGUUAGACAUUAUCUUAACUCACACGACUUGUACCUCUUUGAUUAUGUUCAUCAUUGCUAAACAUUUUUUUGUUGUAGUGACUCCAACCUCUUCAGUUCAGUGCUUAGAAAUGUGUGUUUUCCAUUUCUUUUAGGCAAAUGCAUGACCAAGUUGGAUUAAAGAGUGAAAAAUGAAGAAACAUGUUGCUAUUGUAUCAUCUGAUGUUGUCACUGUAAACAUCUUAUCUUGCUGGUUACUUUCAAAGUAAUUAGUUAUUUUGAGAAUGAAAAAUAUUAUGUGGUUCUGGCUAUGUUUGGAAACAUAAAUUUGAAAAUUUAGAUUUGGAAUUCAUUUGUAACCUCAGAGUACUCUUCUGUUUUAAUUGCUGUAAUGUGGGUUUUAAGAUCCAUUGCAAUUACAUGUCAAGCUUUUCAUUUUGCCAGAACCCCAAAGGCAUUAUUGUUUGAGAUUUUUGAGGGAAUUAUUUGAUAUGUACUUGAAAUAUUUUGCUAAUAGCCUAAAAGUUAAAAAUGAAUUAUUUGCUAACAUUUUGCAAAAGGCUCACACGGACCUCGACAAAAUGGGUCUACUGCAGUUUCACAAGACAUUAACAGUCUGAAACAUAUUGCAUUGAUGGAGGCCAAGAUGAAAAAACUCUCUGAUUUACUGAGUAAGGUUAGUUGGUUGCUUACUUUGCCCUUAACUGUCUUUGAUAAAAAUGUGAAACAUGAGCGAAAGCCUUUGCAAAAGUAUGUCGCUGCUAUUUGUAGUCCAGAUAUGGUAACUAUAGUGGAUGGUUUUAACUCCUAUUUCUGUGAUCUUUUACAGACAAUUGAACAAACAAAAGAAAAUGUGGUAAAAAAGCUAGCAUUGACGCAUGAGGAAAUGGAACAAGAAUGUAAGGAGGUAAGUUAAUCUCUUGGCAUACUAAUUCAAGUGUAUCUAAUACUAGAACAAAAAAAAUGUUGGUUCCAAUUUACAUAUCAUGAAGAUGGUAGUUAUAUAAUUUUACAUUCAUGUGUUUUGGUGUGAUUGCAGAUCAAGGAUAGUUUUGCUGAGGGGAAAGACCUGGUUGUGUCUGUUAUGUCUGCAAUGGGUGAAGAGCAGAUCUGUGCUCUCAAAGACAUUGGUCCUAAGUGGUUUCAAAUUCAUUUAUUGCAAAUCUUAGAUGGAAUCAUAAAAGACUUUGGUAGUACUAAAUGCGGUUUUGAUGUUUUGUUUUGGGUUUUGAUAGAAAAAAGAGAACAACAAUAUAACUAGUUUCUUGUUGUGCUAUGGAUUACUGUUUUGCUUUUCUUUUUCAAUAAUUUUUAUUAUCUCGUCUUUAUUUUUUGUGUUGGUAACAUUUAAAUUCUAGCUUUUAAUUGCAUAUUACACUUGCAUUAGUUACCCAAUAUAUAUUAAUGUAGCAAUUUAAGUUUGACAUAUCAUUUAGUACGAGUUAAUACAAUAUCUUAGUUUUUUUAAAAAAUGAAAUUUUCUAAUAAUUACAGUAUUUUUUAUUUUAAUUUAAAUCCCAUGUUAAAUAUAUGUAUCACAAGAAUCAGAUUGGAUAAAAGUAGAAUCAAAUUAAUAUAAAAUUUAAAUACAAAUAAAUGUUUUAAUAAUGAAGAAGUAAAAUCAAAUCGGUAUAAUCUACAAAUAGAUGAACAUUUGGAAUUUAAUUAGAUAAAACUUUUAUUAAUAAAAAAUUUAUUUAUAAAUAAAUCAUUGCAAUAUGUGUAAAAAUAAUUUAAAAUAUAAAAAUUUAUUAAUAUGUAUAUAAAUUUAUUAAUAUAUGUAAAAACAACUUUUCCGGAAAAUAUUUUCAGGAAAUAUGUCAAACAGCAGAAAAUAUUUUACACAGAUUCAAUCAAACACCAGAAAAUAUUUUCCAGUAAAUCAUUUUACAGAAAAGUAAAACAUUUUCCAGAAAUCAUUUUACAGAAAACAUUUUACUGCCAAUCAAACAGACCCUAAGUGUGCAAAUUUAAUUGUAAAGCACUAAGUGUGCGAGUUUAAUGGCAAAGCACUAAGUGUGCGAGUUUUAUUAUUGAGCACUAAGUGUGCGAACUUAUUAAAUAUUUUCGAAUAACUGUUAGUAUUGAGUAUUUGUCUUAUUGAGAAAUCAUGAUUAUUAAAAUGAGUAAAUACUUAGAAUUCUUGAGUAAUAACCAUUAUGGUUGUAUUUAAGGUUAAGCUUUGUAGAUAUUAAACCUAUGUGGUGAUUAUAUUUGGAAAUAUAUAUAUAGUAUGAUUCUUUAUAUUACAUGAUGAGGAAAUGCAUAAUGUAUAUGGUCUUGUGUUUAAAUUUGAAGAAAUGUUUAUGGUUGUGUAAUUAUAUUGAUUUUAGUUAAAUCAUAGUAAUAAGUGAAUAAUUAUCUUAUGAUAUGGUAAGCUAAAGGUAAGAUGAUUUAGUAGUAUGAAUUGGUUGAAUAUUAUUUGAGAUAUCGAUUUAAAUAGUAGAGUUUAUUUUCUUAUAACUUACUAAGCUAAAUUAGCUUACAAUGUGUUGGAUAAUUGUUUUGAUGUAUAGAUUUUGGUGAUCGCUACAUGUUCGGGGGAUCGUCAGCUAAGUUCGUCACACUAUCGAUAAUUUCUUUUGGUAUUUUGCUAAAUUGUUCUCAAAUAUAUGGCAUGUAUAGCAUAGUUAAAAUAUUGAUUUUGGAACCAAUGUGUAUAUGUAUUUAAAAGCCAUGCGAAAAUGGCUUAUCUCUUUUGGUUUGAAUUCGGUAUUAAUGCAUAUGCUUUAAUGGUCCAAAAUGCGGUAUAUGUUCAUGUAAUUUUUAUGCUUAAAUGCUGUCCAAUUUGUUGUAUUUAUGCUGCCAAAAUUGUUGUAUAUAUGCUGUCCAAUUUUGAUGUAAAAUGCUGCUCAAUUUGGUAUAUAUAUGCUGCCCAAAUUGUUGCACAUAUGCUGUCAAAUUUUUAUGCUAAAAUGCUGUCCAAUUUGUUGUAUUUAUGCUGCCAAAAUUGUUGUAUAUAUGCUGUCCAAUUUUGAUGUAAAAUGCUGCUCAAUUUGGUAUAUAUAUAUGCUGCCCAAAUUGUUGCACAUAUGCUGUCAAAUUUUUAUGCUAAAAUGCUGUCCAAUUUGUUGUAUUUAUGCUGCCCAAAUUGUUGCAUAUAUGUUGUCCAAUUUUUAUGCUUAAAUGCUGCCCAAUUUGUUUUAUUUAUGCUGCCCAAAUUGUUGUAUAUAUGCUGUCCAAUUUUGAUGUAAAAUUGCUGCUCAAUUUGAUAUAUAUAUAGGCUGCCCAAAUUGUUGUAUAUAUGCUGUCUAAUUUUUAUGCUAAAAUGCUGCUCAAUUUGAUGUAUAUAUGCUGCCUAAAUUGUUGUAUAUAUGCUGUCCAAUUUUUGGUGUGAAAAUGAUGUCUAGUUUGGUAUAUGAAAGAUGUCCAAAUUGAUGUAAAAAGGCUGUCCAAACAGGGUAGAUUAUCUAUGUUGUAAAAUGUAGUAUAGUUAGUAAAUUGAAAUGAAAUAUGUGUACAAAUAAAUGUUUGGGUAUAUGCUUGAUUUAUGAUAUAUAAUCAUAUAUGUUUGGAAAUGUUUUAAGAAUUGGAAUGAUAUUAAAUUUUGAUUAGGUAAAUGAUAAUGAUAUGGUUGAAUUUUUGAAACAUGGUUAGUAUAUGAAAUUUGAUUAAUGAUGCAUGUUGAUUUUAAUUGGUUAUGUGAUUGUAUAUAUAUAUGGAAUGAAAUUUUGUGGUUGAGUUGGUAUAAUUUAUGAAAAAAAAAAUUUUGAGUUGAAUUUUUGACCGGUAAUGUCUCGUAACUCAAAUCCGGCGACGGACACAAAUCGGAGUGUUACAGUAUACGUUUAUACCAAUAUUUAAAAACAUUCAAGUCACGCUUCCUAAAAACUUAAUUUGAGGAUUUGGGCAGAAGAUCGAACUCUAAAGCUCAAAUCCUCACAAACAAUGCCCAAUUUAGGACCGUGACCUGACUUUCAUUGUUGCGGUGAGGGUUUAGACAAAGAGCCUUGUGAUUUGACAAGAAAUUCCUUGGUUAUUUUAUUCAAAUAACUCAAAAAAUAAUUAAUUACAUAAAUGACUCUAAUUAAAAAAUAAUCACUUAAAUAAUCUAAAAUAAACAAUAAAAUUAGGUUAUGGGAUUAAAUAGUCGGCACCACUUUUUUUUCUAUUAAAAAAUACUUUUUAGGUUUGAAACACUAGAUGAUCGACACUCAUGUAUUUUUUUUCAAACCGUAUUAUACAGGCAUAUAUUUAUAUCAGUAUUUAAAAAAAAGAUUAGGGUACUAAUACACUGAUAGCCGACACCCCUUUAUCAGAUAAAAGAAUUAUUUUUGGGGGGUGUAGGUGCCGACCAACGAAAGGCCUAAACUCACCCAACAAAAGGAGAUGAAAAUAUUGGAACAUUAACCCCUCCUUAUUUUUCCAUCUUUUUUAUUUCUCAAGUUUAAUUACAUAUUUUAUAUUUUAAAAUAAUAUUAAACUAAUUAUCAUUUUGUUAAUUAUUAUUGCAUCUCUCACAUUAUUAUUAAAUUUAAAAAUUAAUUUAAAUUUAAUAUGCAUAAUUAAAUUAAUAUACACAAUUAUUUUAAUAUUCACAUUAUUAUUAAAUUAAAUUUAAUAUGCACAAUGUGUAAUAUAUUUAUAAAAGAAACUUACGUUAUAGAUUAAAUGAAUUUAUAAAAUUAAAUUUUAAAAUAUAAAAAUAUAAAUUCAUUUAAUCUAUAAGGCAAGUUUCUUUUAUAAAUACAUUACACAUUGUUUCUAAAUUUAAACUUUAUAAGUAUAUUUAAAAUUAAAAUUUUUAAAUAUUAUUUAAUUGUUUCUAAAUUUAUAAAUAUAUUACAAGUUAUUUUUUUAAAAUAAAAGAAACAAUAAUUUAGUAAUGUUUAUUUGAAUUAUUAUAAAAGAUUGAAAAUCAUUAAAGCAGGUUCUAAUUUUAUAAAAAAAAUUCUAGUUUAAUUGUGCGUAUUAAAUUUAAAAGUUAUUAACUUUUAAAUUUAAUACUAAUGUGAGUAAUGCAAUAAUAAUUAACAACAUGAUAAGUAGUCCAAUGUUAUUUUAAAAUAUAAAAUAUGUAAUCAAAUUUGGGAAAUAAAAAAGAUGGGAAAACAAAGAGGGGUUAAUGUUGCAAUAUUCGCAUUCCCUUUUGUUGGGUGAGUUUGGGCCUUUGUUGGUCGGCACCUGACACUAAAAAAAAUAAAUUUUUAAUCAAAUAAAGGGGUGUCGGCCAUCAGUGUGCCAGCAUCCUAGUUUUUUUUUUAAAUAUUGGUAUAAAUAUAUACCAGUAUGAUAUAGUUUGAAAAAAAUACAUGAGUGACAACCAUCUAGUGUCUAAAACCUCAAAAAUUAUUUUUUAAUGGAAAAUAGUGGUGUCGGCCAUCUAGUCCCCAUAACGCAAUUUUAUUGUUUAUUUCAGGUUAUUUAGGUAAUUAUUUUUAAAUCAGAGUCAUUUAUGUAAUUAAUUAUUUUUGGGGGGUUAUUUGAGUAAAAUAGUCGAAUUCCUACCUAAAUCAAUUCCAUUUAUGGUAAUUUGGGACAAGACCCUGCAAUCUAUAAAACUCGGCAUUUUUAUAAAACUAACCAAAAAAAAAUUAAUUAAUUACAUAAAUGACAUUUUUUUAUAAAAUAUUAAAUAACCUAAAAUCUAUAGUAAAACUUGGUGGAGCCAAAGUGUUUGGCGCCGCCAACAUGCCAUGUCAGCAACCAGGAUAAAAAAAAUCAAUUUUUUGGUGGAGUCAUGUAGAAUGACGCCACAUGUAUAAAUAUUAAAGAAAUAAUGUGAUUUUUUUUAAAAAAAUGGGGGCUUUAAAUAAAUUUACCUUUUUUGGUGGAGCCAAAAAUUUGGCGCCACCAGAUUCCAACACCCUAUUAUGCUGCCUAUUGUCCUUUUUAUGUUUUUUAUUUGUUUUUUCUUUAUUUCCUUUUUCUGUUUUUUAUUUUUUUGUCCUUUUUCUGUUUUUUUAUUUGUUUAUUUGUUUAUAAUAUUUUAUGUAUAUUUUUUUGGUGAAGUCAUUCUAAAUGACGCUACAGUACGUUUUUUUUUAAUUAUUUUUAUUUUAAAAUUUUUAAAAAUAAUAUUUUAUUAGGUGGAGUCAUUUUAUUUGGCAUGACCAAAUUUGUACAUAUAAGCCUCUCUCAAUGACACAUGAAUCUGAGUUGAAAGAAAAAAAAUUACUGUAACACCCUAUAACCUUAAACCGUGCCGAAAUCGGGUUACAAGGCAUUAUCGUAUAUCUUGGAUAAUUUACAAAAAAAAUUCUUAAAUAAAUAACAAACAUAUAUAAUCAUAAAUUCAUAUAAAUUCUUACUAAUUGACUUCAUUCAUUUUUUUUUUAAUUUGAAUAUAACCUAUUUAUAACUAUUGAACCUUCCCUGCAAAUUUCAAAUUGCAACCAAUGCAUUUAUAUACUCAAUUAUACUAAAAUACCCUUUAUCAAAGUGCACCCAAAAUGAACAUAACACAUAAUAUUUCCAUUAUAAACUAAACAUUUCCAACUCAAGCCAUAUCACAUAGCUUGAUCAAACCCAAAAAUUCAUACCAAAAACUAACUAUACAUGCCAUAUUUCCAUUAAUUGCAUAGUUCCAAAAGUACCAAAAAUCGUUUUGAUAGUGUGAUAGCAAAUCUCCGACCUCGUCCGAAAUCGAGCUAGCUUCCGAAUCUAUAGAACAUAAGAAAAUGAAUGAAGUAAGCAAUAAGCUUAGUAAGCCGUAUAAUAUAGAAUUAAAAUGUUCCAAUUUAACAUCUAAGCAUUAAAACAAUUAAAAUCAACUCAUUUGUCCACAAGGUCUAUUCACAUCACCAUCCCCGAGUUAGUCAUAUAGCCAAAUAUGUCAUGUCGUCCUUAUAAUUCAUAUAUUCAUAAAACAAAAUUCCAUGUAAAUCAUGUAUUUCAUGUAACUUUUAAAUCAUGUAAACCAUAUAACAUUUAUAUCAAUUCUUUCCUAUUCGUAUAACCUGCAAUUCAUUGGUAAUAACAUAAAUUUAUCCGUAACUUAUACAUUAUCAACGGUAAUUCAUCCAUAUAAUUACAUAGCUUAUUCAUAUAAUCAGUAACAGUAAUUAUGCCCGUUGAACCUAUUAGAACAUCGAGGGAUAAACGGGUGAUACACUAUAAGUGUAUUUAUCAGAAAUUUGUCAAUUCAUUGUCAUUUUCGCUCUUUCGAGCCAUGAUCGGUAAGCUCAUUCUGAGCUGAUAAACGGUAAGCUCUAUCGAGCUGAAACGGUAAGCUCCAUAGAGCUGAAACGGUAAGCUCAUACGAGCUGUGGUGAGUCCGCAACAAAUGCAGGAGCUCGACCAAACGAUAACCCUAGUGACAAGUCACUCGUAUCCGACGAUUUUCUAAAGUUCAAACAGGCUCGGUAUUAUCUAAUUUCAUCAAUUAAGCAAUGAAAAAAAAUCAAUAACUCAAUUUCUCAAUUCAUAUGUAUAUAUAUAUCUAAGUACAUACAUUUAAAUACUCAAAUUUCAUAUUCAGUGUCUAUUAUCAUACCAAAACAAUAUAACAUAUAUAGUAUUUGUAACAUUUCAUUUGCAUUUAUAUAACCACAAAUAAAAUAGUAUACCGGUAAUGUAAAAUUCAAAUAGAUUAUUCAUUCAACUUACAUACAUUUUUUUUUGACAACUACAGUUAUUAAAUAAUUCAAUUCUAGCUAUACGAACUUACCUCGUAUUUGCUCGAAUACUUUCGUCUACCCAUCUAACUUUUGUUUCCCCCGAUCAAGUUCCGGUAUUUGUUUAUCUUGAUCUAUAUAAAUUCAAAUUUAACUCAUUUAUUCACCAAAUCAAUCAAUUCAAUCCAUAUAAAUAUAUUUUGGCAUUUUUACAAAAUAGCCUUCAUAUUUUCACAUUUUGACACUUUAGUUCCUAAUUCACAAAUACACAAAAUAUACGAAAUUUCUUUAUAAGUAUUCUUAGCCGAAUAAUAUAUAUCUUCUAAUCAGCCCAUAUUUUCAUUUAUUUCACAUUUCUAACAUAAUAUUUCUAUUUUUUUAUUAAAACCCUAAAGCUCAUUGUUGUCAAAAUUUACUUUAUAAAACUUGUAUAUAUAUCAAUACCCAUAAAUAAUCUAGCAUAAUACUUCAAAAUAUACUAGUAUUCAACAAUGGCAUAUUUCAAAAUCAUCAAAAUUUUCAGAAAUUGAGGUACGGGCUAGCUAGAAUACAAAACAACGAUCUUAAAAACGUAAAAAUUAUUAAAAACGGAACAAAAACCAUACCCUAAUUGAGAAUCUAAGCUUGGCCGAAUGUAAAAGCCAUGACUUUGGCUUUCUAAACUUUAAAAUCCAUGACUUUGGCUUUCUAAACUUUAAAAUCUUGCAGAAGGAGAAAAUGACUACCACUUUCUGUUUUGUUUUUACUUUAAAUCAAUGUUAAUAACCAUUUUACCAAAUUAACCUUAAUGAAAUAAAAGCAUAAUUCACAUGUUUUGAGGUCAUUUAUGACCAGCACCACUAUCAUUGGUCCAAUAACAUAAUAAGGACCUCUCAUUCAACUUAUUAGCAAAUAAUUACUCUUAACUUAUAGCAUGCUACUUUUACAAUUUACACGAUUAAGUCCUUUUUAUCAAAUUAACUAUUUAAACGGUAAAAUUUCUUAAUGAAAUUUUUAUACUAUAAUUCCAUCAUGCUGUAAAACUUAUUAAAAUAAUAUAAUAAAUAUUUUUACUCGGUUAAGUAGUCCCGAAACCACUGUUCCGAUCAGACUCAAAAACGGGUUAUUACAACUCUCCCCUCCUUUAGGGAUUUUCGUCCCUGAAAAUCUUACCAGUAAACAAAUUAGGGUACUGUUUUCGCAUAGCUUCCUCGUGUUCCCACGUAGCUUCCUUUAUCCCGUGUUUAUGCCAAAGAACCUUCACAAGUGCUAUACAUUUAUUUCUUAAUUCUUUAUUAUCUCGGGCCAGAAUUCUAAUCGGUUCUUCGUUAUACGAUAAAUCUGACUGUAUUUGCACAUCAACGGGAGAGAUCACAUGUGAGGGGUCGGAUCGGUAUCGACAUAACAUCGAAACAUGAAAAACAUUAUGUAUCUUUCUAAGUUCAGACGGUAAUGAUAGUCGAUAUGCUAUAGGCCCUAUUCUUUCAACAAUUUCAUAUGGCCCAAUGAAUCGCGGACUUAACUUUCCUUUACGGCCAAAACGAAAAAUUUUCUUCCACGGUGACACCUUCAAGAAUACUCGAUCUCUAACCUGAAACUCUAUUUCUUUACGUUUCAAAUCUGCAUAUGAUUUCUGUCUAUCUGAGGCUGCUUUUAAACUGUCUCGAAUCACUUUCACUUUUUCUUCCGUUACUCUAAUCAAUUCAACCCCGUGAAUCUUUUUCUCACUCAAUUCUGUCCAGUAUAACGGUAUCCGACAUUUAAGACCAUAUAAAGCUUCAUACGGAGCCAUUUUCAAACUUGUCCAGAAGCUAUUGUUAUAUGCAAAUUCAAUCAGAGGCAAGUGUUUCUCCCAGCUACCUUUAAAUUCAAGUAUGCAACAACGCAACAUAUCCUCAAGUAUCUGUAUAACUCUUUCGGACUGACUGUCAGUCUGAGGAUGAAAGGAUGUACUAAAAUUCAAUUUCGUUCCCAAAGCUUCUUGUAAUUUCUUCUAAAAUCUCGAUGUGAAUCUCGGAUCUCUAUCAGAGAUAAUAGACAAUGGUACACCGUGUAAUCGUACAAUCUCAGAUAAGUACAAUUCAGCUAAUCUAUCCAGGGAGUAAUCUGUACGCACCGGUAUAAAAUGAGCCGAUUUUGUCAAUCGAUCAACGAUAACCCAAAUUGCAUCUUUCUUUUUCGGAGUCAGAGGCAAUGCCGAUACAAAAUCCAUAGUAACUCUGUCCUAUUUCCAUUUCGGAAUCAUCACCGGCUGUAAUAAACCUGACGAUACUUGAUGUUCGACUUUUUCUUGUUGACAAAUUAAGCAUUUUGAUACAAACUCUGAUAUAUCUUGUUUCAUUCCUAACCACUAGUACAAUUGUUUCAGGUCAUUAUACAUUUUAGUGCUACCCGGAUGGAUAGAAAAGCGAUUACUAUGUGCUUCGCUCAAAACUUUCUGAAUUAAUUCAGUAUCUUUAGGUAAGCAAAUACUAUUCCGGAACAUUAAACAAUCAUCAGUUCCAAUACUAAAUUCAGAAUCAUAAUUAGACUCACAUUGGAUUCGUCUAGCUUGCAACUCUCUAUCAUUUUUAUGAGCCUCGCAGAUUUGUUGCAGAAAUAUCGAUCUAGCUUCUAAUUCAACUAGAAUAGCUCCGUCAACACAUAACAUCAUCUGAGCGUUCAUUGCUCGUAAAGUAAAUAGAGACUUACGGCUCAAAGCGUCAGCUACAACAUUAGCUUUUCCCGAAUGAUAAUCAAUUACAAACUCGUAAUCUUUCAGUAAUUCGAACCACCUCCGUUGUCGCAGAUUCAAAUCUCUUUGUGACAUCAAAUGCUUCAGGCUUUUAUGAUCUGUAAAUAUUCGACAUUUCUCACCUUACAGAUAGUGUCGCCAAAUCUUUAAUGCGAAUACUAUUGCAGCUAAUUCAAGAUCAUGUGUUGGGUAAUUAUUCUCAUGUGGUUUCAACUGUCGGGAAGCAUAAGCUAUAACUUUUCCAUCUUACAUCAAUACACAACCCGGUCCGUUUAGCGAUGCAUCACUGAAAAUCACAAACUCUUUACCCGAUUCAGGUUGAACUAAAAUCGGUGUCUCUGUUAACAGUGCUUUCAACUAUUCAAAACUCUGUUGACACUUAUCAGUCCACUCAAAUUUCACAUCUUUUUGAAGUAAUCGAGUUAACGGUACUGCAAUCAUCGAGAAUCCUUUUACAAAUCUCCAGUAGUAUCCUGCUAAUCCCAGAAAACUUCUGAUCUCAGAUAUAUUUUUCGGUGGUUUCCAGCCUAUAAUUGCGAAUAUUUUGCUUGGAUCAACUCUGAUUCCUUCCGCAGAAACAAUAUGACCUAGAAAUCCGACUUUUCGAAGCCAGAAUUCACAUUUGCUGAAUUUAGCAUAUAAUUGUUUAUCUCUCAAAGUCUGUAACAUAAUUCUCAAAUGUUCAGUAUGCUCUGUCUCAUCACGAGAAUAGAUCAGAAUGUCGUCAAUGAUCACAACAAUGAAUCUGAAUAUUCGAUUCAUUAAAUCCAUAAAUACCGCAGGAGCGUUAGUCAAACCAAAAGGCAUAACUAAAAAUUCAUAAUGACCGUACCGUGUUCUAAAGGCAGUCUUCGGUAUAUCUGAAUCUUUAACUCGCAACUGAUAGUAGCCUGAUCUCAAAUCAAUCUUUGAAAAUAAGGUAGCCCCUUUCAACUGAUCAAACAAGUCAUCGAUCCGCGGUAAAGGAUACUUAUUCUUUAUAGUUACUUUAUUCAAUUGCCUGUAAUCAAUACACAUUCUCAUUGAUCCAUCUUUCUUUUUAACGAAUAACACUAGAGCACCCCAAGGUGAAAAGCUCGGUCUUACAAAUCAUUUGUUUGUUAACUCUUGUAACUGUACCUUUAACUCUUUCAAUUCCGUAAAUGCCAUUCUGUACGAGGCUAUCGAUAUCGGUGUUGUACCUGGUAAUAAUUUGAUGCCAAAUUCAACUUCUCUGAUCGGCGAUAAACCCGGUAGUUCUUCUGGAAAUACAUCUAGAAACUCACUGACAACCGGUACAGAUUCAAUCUUUAAUUCUGACAUUUUAGUAUCCAGUAUAUAUGUUAAAUACGCAUCACAAGCCCUUUUUACACAUUUCUGAGCUCGCAUAGAAGAUAUCACAACCGGUAAUUCACUCGAAUCAUUAGAUUCAAUCCGAAGAAUUUCACCAUUCUGACAUUUCAGUUCUAUACUCUUUCGUCUGCAAUUUACAACUGCAUCAUGCAUAUUCAGCCAAUCCAUGUUCAGUAUCACAUCAAACUCGUUAAAUGGUAGGAGCAUCAAGUCAGCCAGAAAAUAGUAUCCCUGAGUCAUCAAUGGACAUUUCUUACAAAUUUUAUCAACUAACACUAACUUACCCAACGGAUUCGAUACUUUAACUACAAAUUCUGUAGACUCAACAUGUAAAUUCUUUUUAAACACUAAUUCUAUACAAAUAUAAGAAUGAGUUGAUCCUGGAUCUAUCAAUGCAAUUAUAUUAGUGUUAAAAAGAGAAAAAGUACCGGCAAUAACAUCAGGCGACGAGGCUUCCUCGCGUGCGCGUAUAGCAUAAGCUCUGGCAGGUGCUCGGGUCUUUGAUCUUACAUUUGAAUCUCGUGUAGUACUGCGGUUUCCACUUUGAUUCCCUGCAUUUCGGGGUGGUCCACCCUUGGUAGUAGUAUUACUCACUUUAACUGUUUGCUCUCUAUUAGCAGUAGAUCUCUUCGGACAGUCUCGUAAGAAAUGAUCUAAAGAUUCGUAUCUGAAACAUGCCCCAUUUUUCAAUCGGCAUUCACCAUAGUGCUUUCGGUUACAAUAUUUGUAAUCAGGUCAUGUAUUUCUCACACUACCCACACUAGUAAUGGAUGUCGUUUGAGGCUUUAGAUUGAAUGAUCUAGUAUCUCUUUCUCUGAUUGAUAUACCCGCUGAAGCAAUGGAACGGGAAUGGAAGUCUUUAGAUUUCUUUGGUCCAGACUGAUGCGGUUUACUCGCGAAUCUUUUUCUAGAAUCUCUUGCUUCAAAAUCAGCUUUUCGUUUCUCUUUGGCAAGUUCUUCGACUUUACAAGCCCUAUCAACCAGAAUAACGAACUCUUUCAGUUCAAUAAUUCUGACUAACAAUCGAAUAUCUUCAUUCAGCCCAUCCUCGAACCUUCUACACAUGAUAGCUUCAGUAGAAAUACAUUCACGAGCAUACUUACUGAGUCGUACGAAUUCUCUUUCAUAUUCGUUUACUGUCAUACGACCUUGUUUCAAAUCAAGGGAUUCUUUUCUUUUCUGGUCUACGAAUCGCUGACUAAUAUAUUUCUUUCGAAAUUUAGUUUGAAAGAAAUCUCAUGUAACUCUUUCUCGUGGAACAACAGAUAUUAGAGUAUUGCACCACUGGUAUGAUGCAUCUCUCAACAAUGAAAUAGCACAUAUUAAACAUUCUUCUAAUGUAUAGGUUAAUUCAUCGAAAACCCUGAUCGUAUUUUCAAGCCAAAAUUCGGCCCUCUCAAUAUCAUUACUAGCUGAGGUUCUGAAUUCUUCGGCCCCGUAUUUUCGUAUCUUAUCAACAGGAGGUCUAUUCAAUCGUAAAGAAUUCGUACCUUGUAUAUUUUUAGGGUUUGGUUGGCGAACUGGAAGGGGUGAAGGUUGUUGAGCAGCGGGGUUUGCUCGAACAAAUUCAGAAAACCAUUCAGACAUCAUUUGGAAGAAAGCUUGUUUAGCUUCUCCUUGACCGCCCGUAAUAGGGCUCGAUUCAGAAGGCGCAGUUCCUUGAAUGGAAGAUGGCGCGUUACUUUCUACAUCGUCGGCCAUUGCUCGAUUUGGAUCCAUUUACUAUAUAAAACAUAAUUCAGAAGCUGUCAGGAGAUAUCACACUAUCGCAGUUUAAAUAUGGCAUGUAUAGCUAGACUCGAAAACACUACGGUAGUCCUAGAAUCAACUAAACCGUAGCUCUGAUACAGAUUUAAAUGUAACACCCUAUAACCUUAAACCGUCGCCGAAAUCGGGUUACAAGGCAUUAUCGUAUAUCUUGGAUAAUCUACAAAAAAAAAUUCUUAAAUAAAUAACAAACAUAUAUAAUCAUAAAUUCAUAUAAAUUCUUACUAAUUGACUUCAUUCAUUUUUUUUAAAAAAAAUUUGAAUAUAACCCCUUUAUAACUAUUGAACCUUUCCUGCAAAUUUCAAAUUGCAACCAAUGCAUUUAUAUACUUAAUUAUACCAAAAUACCCUUUAUCAAAGUGCACCCAAAAUGAACAUAACACAUAAUGUUUCCAUCCUAAACUAAACAUUUCCAACUCAAGCCAUAUCACAUAGCUUGAUCAAACCCAAAAAUUCAUACCAAAAACUAACUAUACAUGCCAUAUUUACAUUAAUUCAUGAGGUCCAAAAGUACCAAAAAUCGUUUUGAUAGUGUGAUAGCAAAUCUCUAACCUCGUCCGAAAUCGAGCUAGCUUCCGAAUCUAUAGAACAUAAGAAAAUGAAUGAAGUAAGCACUAAGCUUAAUAAGCAGUAUAAUAUAGAAUUAAAAUGUUCCAAUUUAACUUCUAAGCAUUAAAACAAUUAAAAUCAACUCAUUUGUCCACAAGGUCUAUUCACAUCACCAUCCUCGAGUUAGUCAUAUAGCCAAAUAUGUCAUGUCGUCCCUAUAAUUCAUAUAUUCAUAAAACAACAAUCCAUGUAAAUCAUGUAUUUCAUGUAACUUUUAAAUCAUGUAAACCAUAUAACAUUUAUAUCAAUUCUUUCCUAUUCGUAUAACCUGCAAUUCAUCGGUAAUAACAUAAAUUUAUCCGUAACUUAUACAUAUCAACGGUAAUUCAUCCAUAUAAUUACAUAGCUUAUUCAUAUAAUCAGUAACAGUAAUUAUGCCCGUUGAACCUAUUAGAACAUCGAGGGAUACACGGGUGAUACACUAUAAGUGUAUUUAUCAAAAAUUUGUCAAUUCAUUGUCAUUUUCGCUCUUUCGAGCCAUGAUCGGUAAGCUCAUUCUGAGCUGAUAAACGGUAAGCUCUAUCGAGCUGAAACGGUAAGCUCCAUAGAGCUGAAACGGUAAGCUCAUACGAGCUGUGGUGAGUCCGCAACAAAUGCAGGAGCUCGACCAAACGAUAACCCUAGUGACAAGUCACUCGUAUCCGACGAUUUUCUAAAGUUCAAACAGGCUCGGUAUUAUCUAAUUUCAUCAAUUAAGCAAUGAAAAAAAAAUCAAUAACUCAAUUUCUCAAUUCAUAUGUAUAUAUAUAUCUAAGUACAUACAUUUAAAUACUCAAAUUUCAUAUUCAGUGUCUAUUAUCAUACCAAAACAAUAUAACAUAUAUAGUAUUUGUAACAUUUCAUUUGCAUUUAUAUAACCACAAAUAAAGUAGUAUACCGGUAAUGUAAAAUUCAAAUAGAUUAUUCAUUCAACUUACAUACAUUUUUUUUUGACAAUUACAGUUAUUUAAUAAUUCAAUUCUAGCUAUACGAACUUACCUCGUAUUUGCUCGAAUACUUUCGUCUACCCGUCUAACUUUUGUUUCCCCCGAUCAAGUUCCGGCAUUUGUUUAUCUUGAUCUAUAUAAAUUCAAAUUUAACUAAUUUAUUCACCAAAUCAAUCAAUUCAAUCCAUAUAAGUAUAUUUUGGCAUUUUUACAAAAUAGCCUUCAUAUUUUCACAUUUUAACACUUUAGUUCCUAAUUCACAAAUACACAAAAUAUAAGAAAUUUCUUUAUAAGUAUUCUUAGCCGAAUAAUAUAUAUCUUCUAAUCAGCCCAUAUUUUUAUUUAUUUCACAUUUCUAACAUAAUAUUUCUAUUUUUUUUAUUAAAUCCCUAAAGCUCAUUGUUGUCAAAAUUUACUUUAUAAAACUUGUAUAUAUAUCAAUACCCAUCAAUAAUCUAGCAUAAUACUUCAAAAUAUACUAGUAUUCAACAAUGGCAUAUUUCAAACUCAUCAAAAUUUUCAGAAAUUGAGUUACGGGCUAGCUAGAAUACAAAACAACGAUCUGAAAAACGUAAAAAUUAUUAAAAACGGAAUAAAAACCAUACCCUAAUUGAGAAUCUAAGCUUGGCCGAAUGUAAAAGCCAUGACUUUGGCUUUCUAAACUUUAAAAUCGUGCAGAAGGAAAACAUGACUGCCACUUUCUGUUUUGUUUUUACUUUAAAUCAAUGUUAAUAACCAUUUUACCAAAUUAACCUUAAUGAAAUAAAAGCAUAAUUCACAUGUUUUAAGGUCAUUUAUGACCAGCACCACUAUCAUUGGUCCAAUAAAAUAAUAAGGACCUCUCAUUCAACUUAUCAGCAAAUAAUUACUCUUAACUUAUAGCAUGCUACUUUUACAAUUUAGGCGAUUAAGUCCUUUUUAUCAAAUUAAGUAUUUAAACGGUAAAAUUUCUUAAUGAAAUUUUAAUACUAUAAUUCCAUCAUGCUGUAAAACUUAUUAAAAUAAUAUAAUAAAUAUUUUUACUCGGUUAAGUGGUCCCGAAACCACUGUUCCGAUCAGACUCAAAAACGGGUUAUUACAAUUACUUAUAUAUAAGCCUCUCAAUGACACAUGAAUAUGAGAAGCUUUUUUUAUGUAUUUGUGUUUUUUUUAAUUUGAAGGUAUUUUUUUAAUUUGAAGGUAUAUAAUGUGUAAUCAAGAAAAUUAAAGGGAAAUUUUUAAUAGAAAUAAAAAACGGAAGACCAAAAAAUAAAAAUAUGAGAAAAAAAAAAGAGUGAGUUGAAUUGAUUGGAAAAAAUAAAAAAAAGGAUUUACUAUUUAAAAAAACUAUGGCUUUUUAAAAAAUAUGUAAUUAAAAAUAUAUAUCAUGACUGGCCACAUCAUGUUAGUGACCUUAGCGAUAUGACUGGUCAAUAGUUAAAAAAGCCUAAUAAUUAUUAGUUUAAAAAGAAAAGAAAUAGAAUGGGAGAAAAAAAAUGUCUCUAUUUAAGAAGGUGAGGUUUUGGUCUCCCUUCAAAUAUCUUGUAUUUUGUAGAAGAAGAGAAGGAAGAAAAAAGAAAAAAAAACUUGUAAGGUAUUUAUAGUUUGUAUUUUGUAUUUUAUAGUUAUUGUAAUAUAAUAAUUAAUUAUACUUAUUUUAUGCAAUUUUUUUUAAAUUAUGCAGAUAUCAAAAUGUCUUCUCAAGUAAAUAUGGAUCACACUUCAUUCAGGAUCAACGAAACAGUAAAAUUAAUUAUAAAUUUAAAAAAAUUCGUUUUAGUUUCUCGUUUUUUCUUGCUCAACGCUACUUUGCUCAACGUGUUUUGAUUGCAUAAAAUUGAUCUCUAUUUGGUUGUUAUUAACCUUUUUUAACUUCUUUUUGCAUGAAAUUGAUCUCUACGUGUUAAUAAUAAUUUUUUUUAAUUUAUGACACAUUCAUAAAUUUAUAUAUUCAUUUUUUUUAAUAUGAUGACCUUUCUACUUAAUUUGCAUUGUUGUUGUGUUUGGUUCCAUUUGUGGGGUACAAAAAAGUUACAUUUGUAUCCCACUAAUUUGACACCACCUAAAUAAAAACUAAAAAUCUCAUUCACAUGAGGAAACUAAGAAUAUAUAUUAAUUUGGCUUCAACUAAUGUAUAUAUCACAUUAUAAGUGUUAUUAUUAUUAAUUUAGAAAUCACAGUUGAUCUCUACGUGUUAUUAUUAAUAUUUAUGAUAAAUCUUCAUUCUAUUAUUAAUAUUUUAUUACUCAUUUAAUUUAACUUAAAUAAAAAAUACUUAUAAUGGCUACGUUGGUAUAAUAUAAGUGAGAUGUUUUUAUAAUAAUUGACUUAUCAUAUUUUUAUAAAAAAAAUACUUAGAAUCGCUACGUUGAUGUUUUUAAAUUAUAUAGAUAAUUGAUUUAUCAUAUUUUUAUAAAAAUUUUACCAUACAAGAUGAGUAUUGAGUUUUUAGGUUGCGGUUUCAUUUUCCCAAGUACGAUCCGGACGAGCGGGUCUUGCCACACUUACAGUUGGUGGGAUUUGGGGAUGUCGUAUUGAUCUGAAGGUUUGACCCGAGGCCGAACUUAAUAUCCGCCUUGGUUGAGCGAUGGUGUACAUAGACCCACACCUUUAUUAUGCCAUGCGGGGAGUGCACUAUCACAUUGGAAGAUGUCACUAUGCAACUUGGGUUACGAGUUGGAGGUGCUGUGGUCACAUGCCGAAGUAAAGUGUUGGAACCUUCAGUACUAUACUGCCGAUUACUUGGACUAUCGCUAUUGAUGGGGAACUGAAUUUCACAUACUUAAAAUUGGCAUGGUUGAAAGCAAAUUUUAAGGAGUUAUCGAGCAUCGCCACUGAGCACGAGGUGAUGUGUGCUGCUCGAGCCUAUAUUAUGCAGCCGAUCGGGAGGGUACUUAUGCCGGACAACAUGUCUAAUAGGGUCCACUUAAAGUACUUGCCUUUAUUGGAGGAUUUCUUUCGUGACGAUACUUAUAGCUGGGGAUUAGCAGUGUUGGUCAUAUUGUACCAUGAGCUUUACCGAGCAACAAAACAUGGGGUUAGUAACAUGGUUGGUUGUCUGGGUCUACUGUAGUCCUAGGCUCUAUAUAGGAUGUCGUUUCUAGUGGCUAUUAGGCACCAACCAUAUUCGUGGCCACUUGUAAAUAGGUAAAAACAAAAUUAUACUUAACAUUUAACGACUUAUAAGUGUGGAUAAUAUUUUCCCAAGUUUAAGUGCUUACGUGUUUGUUUCGAUUUCAGAUGGGCCACGUCUCUGGGAAUUUGUACGAGCUAGGAAUUAAUCAUUUACCGCCAAAUGGUAGAGGCGUCCGCUGGAGAGAAAUAAUUUAUAUUAAUAUGGUUUAAGUAAUGUUGAUUUAACUUAUUCACUUGCAAUAUGUGAUGUGACUUUACUCAUUAUGUUAUAUUGUGUUGUUCUUGUGGAUGUUGUAUUCUGCACCGAACAUUGCAACCCUUAUUCCUCAGUGGGUUCUCGCCAAAGCCCAUGUGUGGUGCAUUAACACACCCAUAGAGAAUUUAAGUGAUUGAAUAAUCUAUAAAAGAUGUGAAAUUAAUAUCGAAAUGACAAAUGGAUAGUGAAUAAAAGUGAUAUGUAAAAAGGGAUGUAUAUUUGGGGUAUGUGUUAACAUAAUGUUAGACAUGUUCAUUAACUACAUGAAGUUGGAAUCAGAAAUGGUUAGAUGACAUAUUGAAUUGCAUAACAUCAUGCAUUUUUAACUUAUGCUACUCAAAUAUCCUAUGUUUUGUUAUAGUGUUUGGAUUAUAGAAAUAUCACUGAGUUAUACUCAGCAUAUGGUUUUGUUUUCUAUACCCAGGUUAGGUAUUUUACAAAUGUGUUCAUUUUGGUCUUGCAUGUACAUAGGAUAACUUGUGGUUAAUGUUUUGAUUUGGACUCUUGUUAACAUAUUGAAGAUCAUGUAUAUAAUGUAUAUGGUUAUGUUGAUUAUUUUGCUAAGUGGUUUUAGCUAAAUGCUUAAAGCUUGAUGGUUAAUGGGGUUAUAUACUAUGUGAUGUGUUCUUAAUUGAUGCAUGGAUAUGGAAAUGAUUUGGUAAGUUGAAUGCUUAAAACAUGAGAUUGCUUGAAUGAUUAGAUUAUGCUUGAUUAAGUGAUAAUGAAAGUGCCAUAGAAAGUUUAUUAGGAUGGUAUGAGUGUGGCAUAUUGGUUUGGUUGUUAUAAAUGAUGGUUUUGGUUUGAUUUUGAUGUUGUUGAACUAUUUGUGAAAUGAUGAGUAUGUGAUUAAUUUGGAUAGGAAUAGGAAUGUCCUUAGUUGAUAAUUUUCAUGUCUAUAAUUGUAUCUAAAGGGUACCAUUUGAAUUUUGGGUGAUUUUGGCAUGAAAUAGAUAUUUAAAGAUAAGACUUUAUCAUUUCUAAACUUAAGUAUCGAUAUUUUGACAUUUAGUAUUGAUACUUGACCAUAUGUACAGUUUUAAAAUAAAUAGAAUGCCAAAAUGGUAUGGAUAUGUAUAUGAGUAUCGAUACUUUUUCAUAAAAUAUCAAUACCAAAAAAUAAAUAUUGAUACCCUUGUUUUGUAUACAAACAGAAAUGUAAUUUGGUAUCGCUAUUUAAUAAGGUAUCGAUACGGUAUUGAUACCUAACUAUAAACUGUCGAUACUAACUAUAAAAUUUUAAAAUUUUACAACUCAAUCCUAUUUCAUGCCUGAAUUUCACAAUUAAGCCAUUGUAAACUUUAAAUUAUUACACUGUAUGGCAUGCGAAUGGAAUUUAUAUAAAUUGCAAUAAUUAAUUGUAAUUGCUUAUAGCAUCAUAUUACUAGGGUUCAACGACCGGACCAAGUAAGGGGUGUUACACUUAUCAUCUUUGGUGUUGCUAAUUUUGUUUGUCAUCCCGCGUGUACCAGGACUAUGAAUCAACAAAAUUAAACUUAAAUAUCUAAUAUGUUGCAAGUGUGAUAAGUCGAGUUGUAAAAUUUAUAGUGUUACAAUGGAAUACCCGAGUAUUUCAAGGAUUGAACCCAAGAGAGUUUGAGGUUAAAGAGAUUAAUGAGAACAAAGUUUGCAAAGAGGAAGUCUAGCUAACUACUUACUAAGCAUCAUAUUAUGGUAAUUUAUAAUCAAAGGUAAUUACAUUAAUUGAUUAUCUAACACUAAGAAGGACCAAGUUGUAAAACAGAUAAAAUUAAACAAUUAACAAUUCAAGACACACAAGCGGUUGGUUGACUUUCAUGUUGUUGAUUAGUCUUUGGAUUAGGGAUCUAUUAAUAUAUAUAACUUUAAAACCUUUAUUGACAGUAAAAUCUAAAACUCAACAAAAGCAUAAAAAAGACACUUAAAUUGCUUGAGAAUAAGCUCAUAGAGUGUAUUAGAGAGCCUAAUUUGACAUAUCUAGAUCACUUAUGGUAACGCGGGAAUUCGUCAGGGCUAUAAUAUUGUUUCCCCCACCGUUGGAGUGUGUUCCGCCUAUAGUCUCUUACUCUCUUUUAAGGCUGUCACCAACUGGCAGUCUUUCAUAUACGAACUACUAAAGAUUUUGGGUAUGCAUGAAAGUUUGCAACGAGCUUAGGUGUUAACUUUCUAAAUUUUAUUACUUUCUACGAAUUUAUAAGCCAUCUCAUAGAGGAAAUAUAAUUUGAAAGGUAGCUUACUAAUCAAGUUAUAAUUUAAGAACUCAUGGCUUGUACUUGACACAAAUGUUUGGAUAGAAAAGUCUUUUGACACGUUUUCUGUUAACAUUAUUAAGGCAUUAAACCUCUUGAUGAACUCUCGAAGGGACUCAUCUUCUUGUUGUUUGAUUGACAUAAAGUACAUCUAGGAUUGUUGCAAUGUCUUGCUGGCCAAGUACCUACACAUAAACAAAUCGACUAACUAUUUGGAUGUGGAAAAAGAAUAAUUUGAGAGUGAUAAAUACCAAGCCCUAUAAUUUUCUUUAAGUGUCAUGGGAAAUGCAUGACACUUAACCUCAUAUAAAACUUUCAAAGUGUUCAUAUAAUCAUUGUAGUACGUUAGUUGGUCUUAUGGGUCACCACAACCAUCAUACAUCAUUUUAAGAAACUCAAACACUUGGGCCAUGUGAAGUAAUAGCACUUCUAGUGCCAAAGGUUUUUUGGAAUAAUUUUGGGGCAAGUUAGUUUAAUCUAUUCUUUGAAAAUCUUGCAUGGCAUUCCUCAAUGCUUGAAUUCUUUCUUCAAACAUGUCCUCAUUCCCCUAUUGGUUCUACCUUCAUCUCUAGUUUGCGACAUCAUCUUCAUGCUGGGGGUUGCGUUAUUGACUGUGAAAGGAUUGUGCCUUUCAUCUUUUCCUAUUCUUAGGGAUUCUGUCAAGGAACAUCCCUAGCUAUUUUAACUUUUCAAUGAUCUUUUCGUUUCGCUUAUUCCUUAGUUCAUUAAAUAGAGAAGAUCACUAGGAUCUCGUGAUCCGUUACCGAACUUAUUCCAAUUCAAUGAACAUUCUCAAUAUUAUGCCUUGAAGAGGACUCGAACCUCCAUGUUCUUUAGCAAGAGAUUUUAAGUCUUACGUGUCUACCAUUUCACCACCAAGGCAUCUUAAAAGUGAAUCGUAUUCCAUGAAUAUGAUAUCUAUCUAGUGUGAUAUAUGGAAUAUGUGGAGUGUUGGAGUAUUUCUAUUGAUCAAUCAUGUCAUAUAGGCCCGAGUCAGACAUCUAAUUGUUUCAAUUUGAAGUAUUCAGAGGAUGUCUUUUUUAUAUAUAUAUUAAGAUUAUAUCAAAUAUAUAUUGGUUAUAUUAAAGAGAUAGAUAAUCAAACCUAUUUAUUUCUCAACUAAAUAGAAGAAAAAAAAAGAAGAAAAAAGGUGAAUAGUGUCCCAAAUAACGAGAGAUAUGUAAAAAUAAGGUUCGAUUCCUAAUCCUAAACGGAAUAUAACGACGUAGGGAUCCAUAUGUAAACAUAGUAUCUAUUUAGAUUCGCUCGAAUUAACCCUUCUCAUAAUGAGAAUUUAUAUAGCCCUAUUUCGGUAUGGAAUAAACUUAAAAUAAUGGAAUUGACUCGCUCAUCAAGUUAUAGAUUAUAAGUUGAUAACCCCAGCCCAUUCCCAUUUUGGGUGAAAUAGAUCUACUAAUUCUUUCAUUCCAGUUAAAGCAGGAACUAAAAAAUAGAUCUACUAAUUCUUUCAUUCGCUCGAAUUAACCCCUUCUCAUAAUGAGAAUUUAUAUAGCGCUGUUUCGGUAUGGAAUAAACUUAAAAUAAUGGAAUUGACUCGCUCAUCAAGUUAUAGAUUAUAAGUUUAUAACCCUAACCCAUUCCCAUUUUGGGUGAAAUAGAUCUAUUAAUUCUUUCAUUCCAGUUACUAAAGCAGGAUCUUUAACUAAGAAAUAGAUUUUAUAAGCAAACUAAAAGCUAAACUAAAAAAAAAGGUAUCAUGAGCAAUUGUAAUAAUCGGGUUCAUUAAUAUUCUUAGUAUAAUAGAUGCUAUCUCACAUACAAUCAUACUAAAUUCGAUGGAAUUGGUUGAUUUUAGAGAAGAUCUUCUAUAAUUUUGCACAUGAGAGGUUAUUUCUUGAUUUUGUCUAAUCAUUAAUAACUUAAUUGUUUUUGUAAACUGUUGAAAGCCCAAUUGAGGAUUCUGUGAGUUUUUCUCGCCAAGUGGGGCAUUAGCAUGGCUUUGAGGAUGUUUGUUAUAAUACUAGGAUGGUGGGAAUUAAUACCAUUGAGGGUGUGCGUUAAUCUGUAUAGCGGGGAUCUUGGUUUGUUUUGUUCGUUUGGGGUUGGUCUUGGGUGGGAUUCCUUAUAGGUUGUUGCUAUUCGUGGCGAUGAUUUUCUUCCAAUGGUAGAGAUAUCUAGGUCUAGACAAGCCAUGAGUGUCCACAGUCAAUGAAUCAAUUGUUGAUGCUAAGAAUCAAUAGAGAAGAAGAACGAUGGAGAUGGACAUUUCACUCUUGGAUGCAAGAGCCAGCGUGGAUAGGAAGGAAACUGAAAAGAAGAAAUCUUCUUUCACCGUGUAAUUACAAUACAUCUUGUCAAAACUAAUGACAUUCAGCAACUAAUAGUGGUGGUUCUAUUCUGCAACAUUAGCUUUGCCGGGAAGCCGCAGGGAAUACGUAUGGUAUUGUUUCAGUUCAAUCAAAAAAAAUAUAAUAGUUUAGACUAUAAACAUAUUUUUAUUGCACUGUGGAAAACAUGAUAGAGAGCACAGUAGAAAGAGCUCCGUCUGAGAAGUAAUAGAUCAUCUUUGCAGUUCAUUACAAUAAGAAACACACAAUAAUACAAUGGCCUACAAAGUACACAAUUUAAAAGUGGAAACAGUCAACCAACUUCUCAGGAACCUAGAAUUCAUGCCACACCUGCAAAAUAAACAAAAGAACAAUGUAGUGCUGUUAUUUAACUCCAAUCUCGUGAAAAGUGCAAGAGAAGAAGCUGAUGACAACACAUGACUAUAUGAGUUUUUCAGACCCUAAACCGAAAUUAAUAGCAAAGGGUUUAGGGUAUAGUUAAACUCAACCAAACCCAAACCCAAACCCAAAAAACACCAAGUUAAAAGCAUUUAAUUAAAAAGAGAGCCUCAGUUGAAUCCAUUAAAACCACUGAAUUGCAGCUUCUACCAAGUAGGUUCGUUCUUGGCUCCACUGCACCUCAUCCAAAGUGGAUUAUAUCAUCAUUGGCUCACUGGAACUAUAUAUACUGUAAAUAUAUACACAAUUAAUAAAAGUUGUUAUUUUCAGAAAACCAUCUAAAACAAAGUCUCAGGAAAACCCAGUAGUUUCGUGAAUGACGCAGCGCCCCCAAUAGGUUUUACCAGAAAACAGGGCUUAGCUGGUUAAUUAGAGAGGCUCAGACAACAAAUCAGCUUCUCAAUCAAGAAUUCUCUGAAGCAGAACUGGCAUAAAAAGCUGUAU